CUCAUACUGAUGUUAACCACCUUAUGAAAAGUGAGACAUUGGUCACACGUUGUAGCCAGCUGAUUUUCAUGAGAAAGGUUCCUUCCUUCCUUCCUUCCUUGGUCACUGGCAGGUAGGCAGGCUCCAUUAUCCACUACUUAUUUUAGACCAUGGGAUGACUGCCUUCUGUAUCCUUCUGCCUGCCAGCGAAGAACAUCUCUCUGUGCUAUGUCCAUCUGCUGCCUGCCACAGAUUUCUGUAACCAAAGGAGAUCCAUGAAAAGGUAAGCAGCCAUUCUCUGGAGCUCCCAACAGAAAGCCAGCACUGGAACGGUUGAAGUUAUUCCCACUGAAACUAAAUUAAAACCAUAAACCUAAAGUAUUUCCUCUUGAACACUCCUAAAUAAGGGAAUUCAUGACCACAAUGACUACCAUCUUAAAUGAGAGCAUAAGAGGAGCAGACAAAUGGAUGGAGUUAGUAAUGUGGAGCCUCCAAGUUCGGAUAUAGUAUGUUUUUGAGUGCAGGUGCCACUCUUGGAAGGGAGAGAACAACAGAGGGAUGCUUUUUGCCUUCAUAUCCAGCUUUGUGAGCUCAAAGGCAUUGGUUUGGCUGCUGUUGAAGGCAUGAUGUCUCGAUGGGACUUCAUGUUGAUACAGCAGGGCUCUUCUUAGCUUUGUCACUGAAAAUGCUGGAGUAUCCUAGACUUCCAACUCAAUGAGUAUACAACUUCUCUUCAUAUCGUUUGCCUCUCCAUUCCACCCUUUGCUGCCUCAACCAAGUUACUAAAGGUCCCCAUCUAAGCAUCCUGGUUUAACCAAGGAAAGCCCUGCCCUUUGGAGGAUAGCUCAGUCAGUACAGCACGAGACUCUUAAUCUCAGGGUUGUGGGUUUGAGCACCACCAGGGGCAAAGAAAUUCCUGCAUUGCAAGGGAUUGGACUGUGUGGUCCCUUCCAGCUCUACAACUCUAUAAUUCUAUGAUUCUAACUUGGAUGGUGAUUGAACUGAUGGCACAACUUGUGUGAGUUAAAGGCUUUGCUUGGGAAGAGGGAACCACCGGUUCGCAAUGCUAUUUAUCUUCAUUAAAAUAAGCCUUACCUAUGGGCACUACUUUGUUGUUGUUGUUUAGUCGUUUAGUCAUCCGACUCUUCAUGACCCCAUGGACCAGAGCACGCCAGGCACUCCUGUCUUCCACUGCCUCCCGCAGUUUGGUCAGACUCAUGCUGGUAGCUUCAGGAACACCAUCCAACCAUCUUGUCCUCUGUCAUCCCCUUCUCCUUGUGCCCUCCAUCUUUUCCAUCAUCAGGGUCUUUUCCAGGGAGUCUUCUCUUCUCAUGAGAUGGCCAAAGUAUUGGAGCCUCAGCUUCAGGAUCUGUCCUUCCAGUGAGCACUCAGGGCUGGUUUCCUUCAGAAUGGAGAGGUUUGAUCUUCUUGCAGUCCAUGGGACUCUCAAGAGUCUCCUCCAGCACCAUAAUUCAAAAGCAUCCAUUCUUCGGCGAUCAGCCUUCUUUAUGGUCCAGCUCUCACUUCCAUACAUCACUACUGGGAAAACCAUAGCUUUAACUAUACGGACCUUUGUUGGCAAGGUGAUGUCUCUGGUUUUUAAGAAUCUGUCUAGGCUAGCAAUCCUCUUUCUGAAGCCUGCUAUUCUGAUAAUUGAAUCUGGAGUUCCAAGUCUGGUCUAAGUACACUGCAUGCUCGCUUGUUUGUUUGGUGACCUGGCUUGGGAGACUAAUUGUUUUCCGUUGCCUUGAGGAAAACAAAUAGUGUUCUAUAUUCAGUCUAGUUCUAGCUCAUGUUCCCGUGCUUCCUUUAAUUUUCCAUGAUGCCCUAUGAGAAAAUGGAAUAUAGGCUUGCUCAGUAUGAAUGGAAGCAACUGCAGGUCUUCAAAAUGAUGGAUGCCGUCAUCCCGCCCCGUGGCGGGAGUUAUAUUUCUCAGUGACACAAGAGGAAAGAAACAAACUUUUUCAGAGGAGCAAGAACCCUCCAGUUCUUUAAAGAUGCAUUGGUAUUUCCAGAGCUCAGAUAAUUUUUCUGCCAGAAGCAAAUGUGACCUAACUUUAGAUUUGGCCUUUGUACAGAAUCCCCAUUGUUAAAAGAUGUGACUUUUAAGUAUUGUAGCAAAGAUGUGAAUGGGUAGAUCAUCAAGCAAGGAGGUCAAAGUUUGUCUAAGUUAAAACAAGGCUUUGGACAGACAACUUGGAUCCUGUUGCCUGUCUCUUGAGCCAUCUGUUGUUAUGUAGUUAGCAGCACAUGUUUAAACAUAACUUUUUACUGCUCCCUUGUAUGGACUGCAAUCCCACCUCCCCUUCAUUCCAGUUGUCUUAUUCUCCUUCUUGGUUACAACUGUUUGCUUACGAAAAUGGUGCUUGUAGUAUCUAGUGCAGGCAUUGACAAGAAAAGUCUGUUGCAUUUAGAACAUUUUCAGAAGUGACUUAUCAGAAGACGUUCUCCACCAAGAAUGCAUUCAUUUGGUAAACAAGCGUCUGUGUUUAUUGCCUCAGCUGUAAAGCACUCUCAUGUGUAUUUAAAUGUAUGUAUAAAUCUCACGUUCGCCCUUGAAAAAUACUUGCCACUGGGCUCCUGGUACUUUCCUGUUGGCUGUCUGUGGGUAUUUUGAUGGGGAAAGCCAAGUUCAUGCAAGCAUGCAUCUUUCAGUCCUCUUAUUGGCCACAUCUAGGUACAAAGUAGAGACAUCACCUUGCCAACAAAGGUCCGUAUAGUAAAAGCUAUGGUUUUCCCAGUAGUGAUGUAUGGAAGUGAAAGCUGGACCAUAAAGAAGGCUGAUCGCCGAAGAAUUGAUGCUUUUGAAUUAUGGUGCUGGAGGAGACUCUUGAGUCCCAUGGACUGCAAGAAGAUCAAACCUAUCCAUUCUGAAGGAAAUCAGCCCUGAGUGCUCACUGGAAGGACAGAUCGUGAAGCUGAGGCUCCAAUACUUUGGCCACCUCAUGAGAAGAGAAGACUCCCUGGAAAAGACCCUGAUGUUGGGAAAGAUGGAGGGCACAAGGAGAAGGGGACGACAGAGGACGAGAUAGUUGGAUGGUAUUCUCGAAGCUACAGACAUGAGUUUGACCAAACUGCGGGAGGCAGUGGAAGACAGAAGUGCCUGGCGUGCUCUGAUCCAUGGGGUCACGAAGAGUCGGACACGACUAAACGACUAAACACCACCAACAACAAAGGUACAAAUGUGGAAGUGAUAUUGUAGACCUGUUGCUGCCUAUGUUUUUCUGCCUUGCCAUGUUUGUUGGUCAAACUGUUGUGAUAGUGUUUUAUGUAGCAGCAAGGGGGAAAAUGGAAAUGAGCACCUAACAGUAUAACCACCAUCGGUGCAAUAGAUGAGUGCUACAUGAAUCUACAGGACCUAUUGGAUAAUACCUGUGUGAUCUCUGAAGAUGUGUUGCACUCUGUUCUCAUGCACACCUCAGCUAUGUCUGGUGGAUUCUAUUUUGUUUAUUUUAGUAUUGUAUAAGAUUUGGGCAUGUGUGGACGAGCACUUUCCAGGCAUGGAACAAGUGGAAGUGUGACUGAGCCCUGAGACCCUGGCAAACCUCUGUCUGAUCCUGGUCUACUGGAUCAGAUACACCCAAUGAUUUGACCUAGAAGAAGACAGCUCCGUAUGUUUGUAGGAACUCAACCCCGGCCCCGUUCUUUUCUGCUUUGGAAUGCAGGCAGGAAAUACGAAACUGAUUCCUACAAUUUCAUUUGUUUAAGCAAUUUCAAGAUCCCCAUGACAGGGAACGCAUCGUGGUCAGCAGAGUAUGUGGAGUGUAAUGUACCAGCAGGGCAGAAAGGCUAACUUGAGAGUGGGAUUAAAAUUCACAGUUCAAUUUACAGUGGCACGUACAGUUGAAACCCACUGCCGAGUGUGUAUCCCACUCAAGACUUAAAGAGUUCUCUUUGUGAAGCCUACUGUGAUUUUUGGCUGUGGAAGGGAAGUGGGUAUGCAAAACAAAGCUCUUUUUACUAGUCAAACGUUUACAGUGCAAACAAAUUCAACUAUGCAUUACUUCAAAUUGAAAAUUAACUGACCAAAAAAUUCUAUUCAAGUGUCCUUAUUGUUUGCUUUCUUGUUUCCAGAGGAGAUUGGAAUUUUGCAAGGGAAACACUAAAGGAAGAAAGGUGAUCAGUACAGGAAGGUAGCAAAAUUUGCAGAAUUAGAUUCCUAGUCACUUAAUUCCAUUUCCAACACAAGAGAUUUGUUUUAAAUGGAAGCUGCAGUGCAGGUUUAUUUUAUGUCUCCAGAGUUACAGGGAGGCAUGUACUAUGGAAUGCGGCAUUCAUAAUGAAAUGCUGAAGAAGCUUGUUCUGUUGCGUUUGAAGAACGGGAGUCAUAAGGCUGUAUACUCACCUACCUGCGAGUAAGCCUUAUUAAGCUCAAUGAGCUUUUAGUUCUGAAUAGAUAUGCAUAGGAUUGUGCUGUCAGGGACCACCAUUAUCUUUAAAAAAUAUAUUAAAGGGGGAUAACAAAAGGUAGCGGUGAUGCAGCGGCAGUUAUGUAGUGCUUAAGAAUGUCCAAAAAGCUUCACAGAGAUUGCAUCAAUAAUCCUUGUGACAAAGACAGAGAACGUGCUGUUCUCCAGAUGUUGGACUCUUAGUUCCCAUCAGUCCCAGCCAGCAUAGCCAGCAGUGAAGGAUGAUGGGAAUUGACCUCCCACAACAUCUGGAUGGCCCCAGGUGCCUCACCUCUGAUUUCAACAAGCCUAUACAGUAGGACAGUGUCAGUACUCCUCUGCAGGAGAUGAUGGUUAAGGCUGAAAGGUUGUGAGUUGCAUAAGACCACUUACAAUGACAGAGGUGAGAGUUAGGGUAUGUUCACAUUAGCAGCAUAAAAUGUACUGAGGUUGUUGUCCAUCCGUCCGGGCUGCGUUUCAAGCCACAUUUGGACAAAAUGAAGCCUGAAGGAAAAAGUAAAUAAAGAAGGAAGGUAGGGAGCAGCCAAAAUCCAUUUACGAUUGGUAGUCACAAAGGAUGAAGUUCUCAAGGCAGAUGCUCAAAGGAUACUGGGAUCGUGAGACAGAACUUUGCAUUCCUGACCUAGGUUGGAGGUAAGUAUAGUUCAGCCAUCCCCAUCCCAGUACCCUUAGAAGCUCUCAUCAAUACCAGCCAGCAGAGUCAAUAGUGAGUUGUAACUUAUAUAUCUGGAGUGCACCAGGUUGGAGGAGGCGGGAGUGCUCUGGUCCAUGGGGUCACAAAGAGAUGGACAAAGCUAAGCGACUAAACAACAACAGAUGCCUUACACAAGAUUUGAAGAUAAAACUUUACUUGUUCAGCUGUGCUAGCCUGACAAGUAUUAUUCUUAUAUGUAUUAAUGAGUGCAAUACAUUUCUCUCCCUUGAGCCCAAGAGAGGGUUUAGUCCUUUUGUUUUCAAAACUCCUUCAUAUCAGUGCAUAAGUUGUUAAUCCAUAACUUGCCCAUCCUCACAAGCACCUUUAGUCAGUGUCUGCUCAAAGUCACCACACUCCCACGUUCUUGGUCAAAGGAUCAACUAACAGAAUAACCAACCAGCUCCCAACUGCCAACUGCCACCUCCUUUCCCCAAUACCAUUUAUUCGUUGUGAAAUACAUUUACAAUGCAAACACAAUACAGAUACUAGCAACAUACCCUUGCCUUCUGUGGGAGGGCUUUGGCAGUAGACCCCAUGCUUUUGCAUGCAGAAGGUCCCAGAUCAAUCCCCAGUGCCUUCAGGUAAGGUUGUCUGAAACCCUGGAAAACUGUUGUCAAUCAUGUACAAUAGACAACGCUGAGCUAGAUGGACCAAUCGUCUGAUUUGACAUGUUUACAUCUUUCUAUUUUCUCAUUUGGGGAGAUGAUCAGGUUUCAAGUAUACUUGGAGUAAUUCUGAAUGCACUUGCAUGCUUAUGUUACCUCGAUAUAUCUUUAGAGCUUCUACAAACGAAUUUUGAAUUCUGCACCUUAGCUGAGCAUUGUUCGGAUUUGCAAGAGGGGAGGUACAACUUGUGGAUGGAUGCACUCUGUGAGUCGUCAGUUAUUCACAUUUCUUUUGCCUUGGUAAAGUCUGCCUUAAGAUGUCAUCUUUCAUCAGCCAUCUGUUAAUAAGAUACUACUCAUGGUGACUGUUAGUUGAGAAGCUAUAUUUCAAGGCUGACUGUCGCCUGGUAACUACUGCAAACCGUAGUACUGCGAAGCUGAAGAAAUACUUAAAAUUGUCGGAGAGAGUGUUAAAACACCAAGGAUUAGCAACUGUACAAACAAGUCCUGUCUCUAGCUGAAGUCAAUUAAUGGUGAAAUAGUUACAGAGUUUACGUCUUGUGCCAAAGGACUGAGAUUUGGGCCCAGAUGCAUUGGCUUUAAUCACUUGUUCGUUUAAGUGCACGGGGGCAGGGGGGCCGCUCUAGCAAUUAAGUUUUGAGUUUUGGCAGAGCCUUCAGAACUUCCAUUAGUUAGGCAAAUUAUGGGAUAGAUUGUACUUGGAACAGCUGUCCUUGUUAAAAAAAAACCCUCUCUUAAAAAGUAAACAAUGGGUUGUGUUAUAAAAAGAGAGAGAGAGAGAGAGAGAGAGAGAGAGAGAGAGAAGAAGCUUCAUCUGUGUCCCACAUCAACAUGUUUAUUAAGGAAACAAGUUAACCAAAAAAAUGCAGGGUUCUCUUCCACUCCCCCCUCUCUGAAGACAUCUAGAAGAACUAGCAUGAAAUUAUUAUUAUUAAGAAUCAAGGGCCGCAAUCCAAAGAACUUCCUAACAAUUCCUAAGCAUUCCUAGAAGGACCUUGGAAUGGUUGAGCUUUGUAAAGUGCUCUCUUCUGUGGGCCCAGCCACCCCAGAGGCAUGUAUGUCUUGUAAAGAAAUAUAUAGAGGCUGAGGAAAAAUGGAUGGAAAGGAUGAACAGUGGUCAUUUACACAACACCAAGAAAGACCUGUGGAUGGGCAACUUCUAGGCCUCUGCUCUCCCCACUUAUUAUGGGCCUUUAAACUGGACUUGGGCCACAUUCAUGCCAUACAUUAAAAGUGCAGUGAUACCACUUUAAACACUUCCCCCCAAAGAAUCCUGAGGCCUAUACUUUGUUAAGGGAGCUGGGAGUUAUAGGAGACUCCCCGUCACCCCACGCUACAAUUCCCAAAGCAGUUUAGCAAUAAAAACCUUCUUCCCAGAAAGCUCUGGGAAUUGUAGCGGGGUGGGGGGAACUGGGAGUCUCUGAAUAACUCUCAGGUCCCUUGACAAAUGAUAGUCCCCAGGAUUCUUUGGUGGAGGGAGCCACGACCAGUAAGGGGGAUCACGGCACUUUUAAUAUAUGCUGCAAAUGUGACUUCAAACAUGGUCACCCUCAUGGAGAAGAUGUUUAACUCUUUCCCCUUUCUGCUGAUCCAGCCCUAUAUAUGCUCCCACCAGGCUCAGAAAUGCUUUCUCUCCCCCCCCCCCCGUCAGACUUUGAAAUCGGAAGUGAACCUGGCUGUGGGGAAAAUAUCCAUGGGGAGAAGUGGUGUUUGCACAUCUUGGCUGUACGUCCUGGAAGACCUGCUCCCUGCCUUGCAUGCCUUUUCCCACUUGGCCUGGGAGGACCUAUCUGACUCCAGUGGCAAAAGCUGAGGCUGCUGAAUAGACUGUUGGGUUGGGAUAUUGUUUGGGAGGGAGGGUGUUGCUGUCAUUCACACACACACCUCUUUUUAAAACAGGACGCUGUGGGUUAAACCACAGAGCCUAGGACUUGCUGAUCAGAAGGUCGGCGGCUCGAAUCCCCGCCACGGGGUGAGCUCCCAUUGCUUGCUCCCUGCUCCUGCCAACCUAGUAGUUCGAAAGCACGUCAAAGUGCAAGUAGAUAAAUAGGUGGGAAGGUAAACGGCGUUUCCGCGUGCUGCUCUGGUUCGCCAGAAGCGGCUUAGUCAUGCUGGCCACAUGACCCGGAAACUGUAUGCCGGCUCCCUCGGCCAGUAAAGCGAGAUGAGCGCCGUAACCCCAGAGUCGGCCACGACUAGACCUAAUGGUCAGGGGUCCCUUUACCUUAUCUUUUUAAAACUUAUUAUGAAUUAUGUAGAAAUGGUUGCAAUUUGGUUGCAUACUUUCUGAUGUGUUUUAUCUUUGUGGUUACUUUUGUUGUAUUUGUGUUUUUUCAUGCUGUUUUAACCAUGGAAAGAUAGCAUACAAAUAAAUGGAUGCAUGUAUGUACGAAAGAGGAUUAAGCACCUGUCCUCAUCCGGUGAUCUUCCUCUCUAAGCACACUUUGGCCUUGCAGGCUCCACAAUGAUCUCAGUAGUAUAAAAUGUAGGGUUGGAUUCAGGUGGUUUCUAAGAUUAACUUGGUUUUCAGUCUUGAGCCGUGUAGACAGCUAUUCCUUUGGGGCACUCUCUAGAUGGUUUGCCUUUGAUAUUUGCAGUGUGUCUUGACAGAGCUUCUUGACCCCGUGAAAAAUGCAAACUUGUGCAUUGAAGCAGCAAUUAGUAUUUUGGUCACCGAAGCCAAAUUAUGGUGGUAGACCCAAGCUAUGUAAAAAAGCUUUCAAGAAGACAUUAACACAUUUAUAGUGUGUUGUGUUCUCAAGGUUCAAGAGCCUAUGGCUAUAAACCAACUAUCCCAAAGUUUUAUAAUAGAUGUGGGAGAGAUUGAGAAGAAAGAUGUGCAUCGUAAAACUUUCUAAUUGAACAACACGUACUCAUUACCCUGAUGUUUUGGGCCCUGUAUGAGGAAUUUCAGAUAACAGGUAAAGUAUGUUUACAAGCCCACAACUGGAGAGGAAACAUAAUUACAAUUCAAAAUUUAAAAACGAUUUUACAGUGCGCUCCUAUGCUGAUCUUCUCGGAAAUCUAAGUCCUAUUCAGUUCAUUGAGGUUCACUUCCAAGAAGGUCAUCGGUCAUUGGAGCUGUAGUCAUUUGAAAGCUGUACAUUCAGAGCACACAAACUCAAGUUUUGUUUUAUGAUGCAUGAGUGUGUCUGUCUGUCUGUCUGUCUGUCUGUCUGUCUCUAGGAAAGCUGAAUGUCACCAUCUUCAUUAUUUAGGGAUGUGAUGUCCUGUUACUGCUGCAGAUUUAGCAGUCAUGGCAAAAUUUGGAGGCGGGAUUCAACUAAGUUGUUGUGCACGUGGAACAAAGUUUGCUUGUGCAAUGGGUCUUUCCUCUGUUCUCUCUUUGUUUGUCCCCCAUGCUCCCACAUCUGUUCUGGAUAGUUGUGGGGGUUGGAAAACCCAGAACUGAUUUAGAGGUGGCGUGGUGAGGAGGAGGUUUGUCUAGAAGAGACAAAACCAUGAGCCCAGGUUCAGGCAACAUACUAAACCAAACCAUGACUUAGCUCGCAACAGUGCAGCAGUGGGAAGAACGGAGGAGGGGCAAAGCAGCCACAACCUCUCCACUCGCCUGCAUGGUUUGGAUUAGUGUUGACAUGUAAACUGAGCCAUUAGGUUCCAAAGACCUAAAGGAAUGAGCAAGUUUUGAUCUGUCCCCUAAGUAUGGGUAGCAAGAGAGACAGCCUAGUUCCAGAACAGGGGUGCCACUACGGAGAGGAAAUUCUUUGGCAAUCACUCAUAGCCAAGUAAGAUUGUCUUCCAUAAACAUGGUUUUAACAGUGAGUCCGUAAGUGACUGUGGAGGCCAAUUCUGGAUCCACACAUCCUUCCACAGUAUGGACAUAUGUUUCUGAGUGGGAGUUGAUCAUGGUGAGGGUUUGCCAAGCGUGCCUUCCUCUUAGCACUUUCCCCCUUUUCAUCCUGAGUUUGAGCAUCUUCAAAGCCUUUGGUGGAAAUCACAAGCCCAGCUGCUGCUUGUCUAGUUGUUUAACAACCCCAGUGCUGGAAAGGGAGGCUAUGUGUCAGGGUGUGUGUGUGAGAGAGAGAGGGGGGGUGAUGGAUCAUUGGUGUGCAUGAUUGUGCAUGUGAUUAUGUAUGAGAGAAUGAAUGUAUGAUGAAAGAAAGGGAACUCACCACCAUCCUGUGCCCUUAAGUCUGAGGAAACAUAGGAUUGCUUUCUUCCACAUGUACCUACUAUUUGUUGCUUAAGAUCUACCUCAGAUGCCCCACUCUGGCUUCCUCCAGUGUCUAUUGUUUCAUGCCAGCCCAAUCUCUGAGCUGUGCGAGAUUUCAGGGGUUCCGGGCAUUUACCCAGGCUUCGUGUUUUCUUUGGAAUGAGGCACAGCGAAGACCGUGGUGUCUUUAUGAUAAAAGGUUUAUUUACACAUAUAUGCACUGUUCACAGCAUGAACGCUCCAAAAGGGUCUUGCUUCUCCCAUAGCUUGUGGCACAGGAUUCAAGCAGAAACCAGGCAUCAUUCUGUUUCUCUGGCUUCCCAGUCUGUGCUUCCAGCUUCUAGCUCACAUUAUUCAACUCUCAUUUCUCAUCUUUGUCUGUCUGUCUUUUUUAUAUAUUAGUUUUUAUUAGUUUUCCAAAUUAUUACAAAUCCAUCCAAAUUACUUAAAUUUAAUACGGUUUCUUAAAAAUCAAGUUUCCCGCUCCUGUUGCAAACAUAUGUCCAUCUCAUCCUCCUAUUGCCACAUCUUCUGUUCUUAAAUUUCCAUUUCAUCCAUUACUAGUUGUUGUCCAAUCUAACAGCAAGCCAUAUAUUCCUCCACACAAGCAGCACCUCUCUGUUAUAUAAAUAUAAAAUCCAUUUCAUGUGUGUAAAGGUAAAGGGACCCCUGACCAUUAGGUCCAGUCGUGGCUGACUCUGGGGUUGCAGCGCUCAUCUCGCUUUAUUGGCCGAGGGAGCCGGCGUACAGCUUCCGGGUCAUGUGGCCAGCAUGACUAAGCUGCUUCUGGCGAACCAGAACAGCGCACGGAAAUGCCGUUUGCCUUCCCGCCGGAGCAGUACCUAUUUAUCUACUUGCAGUUUGAUGUGCUUUCAAACUGCUAGGUUGGCAGGAGCAGGGACCGAGCAACGGGAGCUCACUCUGUCGCGGGGAUUCGAACCACCAACCUUCUGAUCGGCAAGUCCUAGGCUCUGUGGUUUAACCCACACCACCACCCACAUCCCCUUCAUAAUUUCCACCUUUGUCUUUCUAACUACCAGCUAGUUGAGGGAGGGGGCGCACCCAUUUGCCCUCUGGCACUGAACCAUUUCCUUUGUUCCAUUAAAUGCCCAUUGCCUAGGCUAUCGCCUCACCGGGAAGCUAGCCUGGAAUUUAAAGGGUCAACCUACAACCCUCCCUCCAGCACAUAAUAGUCUAGUGAGGUGUGGUUAGGGCCUUUGUGACAGUAACACCAAAGCUCUGAAACUCCCUCUCAGAUGACGUCUGACCUGCUCCAUUGUGGUCGACCUUCCUGUGACAAGCAACAGUUGUCUAGUUUUGAAGCAAAAAAAAAUAAAAAAAAAUGCUAUCAUUUGUAACGGCACCUCUCCUGCUUAUUUUUGCUGUUCCUACUUAUUGCAUCUCGUUUUAAUAUCUUUAGCUGCCUUGUUGAUUCAAAAAGCAAGAUACAAAUGUUCAAAAUAAAAUAAAAUGAAAUAAAGAAAGGCAGACGACUUCCCACUCCAGGGACCAUCUUUAAAAUUAGGUCUUUUAGAAGAUGAUGAUGAACACACCCACACCCCACCUCAAGUGGACCCAACAAACAUGAAGCAAGAUACUGAUAUGUAAACACAUACUGAAGGGCGUUUUGCUCUCAGGGCAUAACGAGAAAUAAAAGCCCGAAAAUGCAAAUUUCUUUAGUCUUAUAAAGUUCCUGGGUGGUCCUGAUCACGAACAUUUGCUAAGUAUUAUGGAAGUCCCUUGGCAAAGGAUUAGCACUUGUUGGCAGCACUGCAGUAAAAGAUUAGUCCCAAGAAGCUGUUACAUCCUCUUCUGUUAAAUGUUCCUUCACUUAAAGAGAGUGGAGCCUCAAAGUGACAUGAACCUAAUGGUACUUAUUAGGAGAAAGCUGUGUGCGUCUUAAAAUCAAGUCUCACAUCCCAUGCCUUUCCAACAGGCAGCAGAAGGUAAAAAAGAAAGAGUUGUCUUUUCAGAAUAGGCAGCUGCUUAUCCUUUUCAUUUUUUACGAAUCCAUUUUUUAAAGAUGUGACGCUUAUCAGCUUAGGAAGGAAUCCGUGCCAUUAUGGAAGCUCAAACUCUAGCAUCCCAGAGUAAAGUUAGAAAGCAAUGACAAUUUUUAUACUGCCUUUCAUCAUACCAGAUUUCAGGAUAGAGCGAAGCAAAAAUGACUGUGAAUAACUUAGAGACUCAAAAGCAUUAUACCAAUGCUGAGAAUUUAUAAAAUAACCGGAACAGACACUUUUCAAAGGCAUCUCCAUGUAAAGUGAAUUACUGUAGUCUAAUCUAAUAAGGCAGCCAGAACUUGGAUAUUGCUGAUUUUUUAAGCCAUGAGGAAAGCUGAAAACAGAUUUGUAGGAAAACUGUGCAUAUAUAUAUAUAUAUAUAUAUAUAUAUAUAUAUAUAUAUAUAUGCAUGCAUUCAGAAUGUAUUUCAGAUAUAUUGUUGAUAACUUCCAAAUGUUGUACAUACAGAGCUAGCAUAGGAUGUGAGAGUUAGCCUUUGGGUAUUUUGUUUGAACCAUUUUGGCUGAUUUAUUGUCUGGCCAAAUUCUCCAACAAAGCCUCAAAAGACAACAAAUUCCCUUAACCCUGCUUCUGUGGUUUGCGGUAACUCACAAAAGUUUACUUUUGUGAAACUUAUUAAGAUUUCCAUUUUGCAAACCUGUGUGUAAAACAAAUAUAAUAGUCGUACUUUUUCCAAACUGAUGAUGUUCUUCCUAAAUUGGGGUCUCAUUUCUGUUUUCACAUGCUAUGAGUUUCCAUGAGCAACUCAUAUUCAUUACCAUGACAGGGACUUGGGUGUGGGUAUUAAAAUAACUUUGCCCUUCAAGGAGCAUUUAAUGAAAUCUAUAAAAUAGCAGGACCUGAGAUUGUGUAGAUAUAUAAUUCUCUGGUAUGGCUUUGUUUCUAGAGUCUUGCCAUGAGUUUUUGGGUGUCAGUUUUUGAGUUCUCAAAUAAGUGCAUGUAGUACAAACAGCUAAAUCUCCAUAUUGCUUACAUUUGAGUGCUGUAAUAUGCUCUAAGCUUUACUGCAUUUUAGCAGGUUGAACCUAUUGCAGACACACUGAUUAUCCUCUGUAGGAAUGGGGGAUUAAUCUAGCAAUAGAGGAGAAAUUCUAUUUAGUGGACAUUUAAAGACAAACCUAUCUAAUUUGCAAUUUCCGAAACAAUACACAGACUAAAACACUUUGAGAUUUGCAUUUGCCUGAAUUUUGCAGUGCAGUUAUCCAGCCAAUUAAUGCUCACGGAUAUGCAGUCAUUCGCCCAUCUCCCCUCUGCACUACCCAGGUAUAAGAUGACCCCCUCAAUUUAUACUUUAUUUUGGAGUAAAAAACCCUUGUCUAAUACAAGGGUAAUUCAUUGACAGAACUCUGCAUCCAGAAGGUCUCAUGUUCAUUCUGCACCCUGACCAUUUAAAAUAACAUGGAGGGAUAGGAUGUGAAAAAAUUGGCCUGCCUCAAGUCUUGGAGAUCCUCUGUUCACAGAAGAGACAAUGCUUGAAAGGCCAUUGGUUUGCUUCCGUAUAAGACAGCUUCUUGUGUUCAUAUGAUCUGGUCAAUAUAUGUGUCAGCAGCCUUGAGGGAUCUGGAGGAAGGGGAGCUCUUUCAACAUUUGCAACAGUAAAUACUGAUAGUCAAAAACUGCCUUGUGUUUGGCAUCCAAACAUGGGUUUCAAUCUUUGAUGUUGACUUUGUUAUCUAUGCUUUAUGCUUCUCCUUUUCAAUCUGCAGGUUCAGUCCUCUGCUGCACCAUACCCCUCCACCCUCCUUUGUUGACAAGAAGCAAGAGGGGUGUGAUCACCCAUUCACGUGGAAAAUGUAAGUAUUUUGAUGCCUUCAACACAAUGGACUGUGCAUGGAAUGUUAAUGAUCUUCUUCUUCUUUGGUGAUCACUCGUUGCCAAGUAAGAUUGUCUUCCAUGAACACGGUUUUGAUAGUGAGUCCAUAAGUGACUGUGGAGGCCAAUUCUGGAUCCACACGUCCUCCCACAGUGAGGACAUAGGUUUCCGGGCGGGAGUUGAUCAUGGUGAGGGUUUGCCAAGCGUACCUUCCUCUUAGCAUGUUUCUCCCUUUCAUCCUGAGUUCGAGCAUCUUCAAAGCCCAUGACACCUUUGGUAAAGGUUGUUCCCCAAUUGGAGCGCUCACAGGCCAGUGUUUCCCAGUUGUCGGUGUUUAUGCUACAUUUUUAAAGAUUUGCCUUGAGAGAAUCUUUAAACCUCUUUUGUUGACCACCAGCAUUACGCUUUCCAUUUUUAAGUUCGGAAUAGAGUAGUUGCUUUGGAAGAUGAUAAUCAGGCAUCCGCACAACAUGACCAGUCCAACAAAGUUGAUGUUGAAGAAUCACUGAUUUGACAUUGGUGAUCUUUGCUUCUUCCAGUACACUUGCAUUCUGUCUUCCCAAGUGAUGUGUAACAUUUUUUGGAGACUCUAUUGCUGGAAUCUUUCGAGGAGCUGGAGAUUGCGUUGAUAAGUGGUCCAUGUUUCACAAGCAUACAGUAAGGUUGAUAGUACAAUAGCUUUGUAAACAAGCAUUUGGGUUUCCCUGCGAAUGUCCUGGUCCUCAAACACUCUGCGCUUCAAUCAGAAGAAAGCUGCACUCGCAGAACUCAGGGGAUGUUGGAUUUCGCCAUCAAUGCUGGCCCUUGUGGAAAGAUAACUGCCCAGGUAGGAGAGGUGAUUGACACACACUGGGCUGUGAAUGGAAUGUUAAGGAUAACAGCCCCUCUGCAGAAACCAGGCAGUGAAGUAUUCACUUAGAGCAGAAAUGUAUGGGCAAUGAAACCAUAAUACAUGCAGGCCAAGCAAUCCCAAAGAUGGAUGUGAGCCUGCCAAGGUCCUCCUAGUCCUUUUGCCCUGCCUGCCCAGUUCAAUUCAUCUUCCCGUUCAGGGCAUGCUGGAAUAAGCCCUGUAAUUACCAGCUAAGCUGCGCUUGCUGCUGACAAGUGGUGAUAGCAGUAAGGAACAGCAGCAUGCUCUUAUUACAGGCCUGGAAUAAGUUUAGACGAGCAUGGUCUGCCCCAUUGCUGCUCAAAUGCUUCUGGGAAGUGGCAGCAGCAGCUUCUUGGAAGGAGAGAUAGUGGGACUUAUGCAUUAGACCAGAAAAGGCUUGAGGGGCGUCGUCGGCAUCUUGUUACUACAUGAUAAAGCAAAAUCCCAAACUCCACUCAUUAUUCUCGCAUCCCAAGCAGCAAAUGGUUAAAGAAUGCUAUAACAGACAAUUUAAAAUCCGAGACAUUCCUGAAUCCUUUGUGCAUCAGACGUCCCCUCCGCCCCCAACCCCAAGAUGAGGCAGUAGGGUUAACCACUAAAAUGAGCUAUUUUAUUUGACGUGAACAAACAAGGUUUUGAUGGGUUUGGUCAAAGUGGUUAACAAAUACCGAUGGGCUUGCCGCUUCAUGAUAUUUUCUCAGGGUUAAUGUAUGUUGAGCCAUGCCUGGAAUUUUAUAUUACUUUCUAAUGGGCGCUCUCCUGUGUGUUUUCAGAGCUUGGGGGGGGGGUCGGAGGUGUGUUUGAGAUGGGGUGUUUGGGGAUAGUGUGUGUGACACACAAAUCUUGCGCAUAAAGCGGUUACACAGACUUCAGCGUUCACAAACCAUUUGAAAACCUUCCCACUGAGAGACGCCAGCAGUAAGCCAUAUGCGCUAUUCAGAUCUGAAAACACAAUGAAAAUGCUUUUGUGGUUCACAACUGGUUGCAAAGAGUAAAUGAGGCAUGCCAAAGAAUUUCUUCUUUUGUAGAAACAUACAUGAGUGUGUUAUUUUGGUGUUUUGACUUGAAAGCGUUUUCCCUCAUUUUCCCUCCACUUUCUUUCUAAGCAAAAAGCAGCUGCAUAUUUUCAUAGAUCACAAUUAUCAGAUGAUGGCAAUUUAUAGCCUACGUUGUGGAGGGUUCCGGUGAACCACAUCCCUACCAAACGUUCUGCCUAGUCAGCAUAGUUUCCCCAGAAACAGGCGUUUUGCUCUGGCAUAAGUAUGUUUCUAUAGAGGCCUUCAGAAACAAAUCCAGCAAAACUCUUUCCUUAGUGAACGGCAAAGGUACCCUUGAGACUGAAGAGCUAAUAAUCUGUUCAAUUAUGUGGUCCUUUGGGCACCAAUAACCCCCAAAAUGGUUCUGGAAGUUGUUAUAAGUUUCCUUUAAAAAAAGAGCUACAUUCUUGUGCCUGAGUUGGCCCAAAACAUUUUUCUUCUUCAAGUGGAACAGCAGGUGGUGGCCCCCAACCCCACAGGUCAAGAUACAGAGUACCCAAAACUAGGGAUGGGCUGCCCAUACUGCUUUUUCUGUUUCCCAUUUUCCCAAUCUUAAGUUUAGUUCUCCGUGUUUCUACAUCAGUAUGCAAUUUAUUUUUCAAGUCCUCGAGAAAUGUGAUCAAGAUUUCAAUGCAAAUUUCACCUAACGUACACGUUUGCAUGCAACUUUGGCUAACGUAUACAUUUUUACGGCACUGCUUUCCCUCAUGCAAAACAUUUUUUUUGUAAGCUAUAUUUACUAAUAUAUGCAUUUACAUGCACACUUUAUAUAUUGGUAUGUACAUUUCUGGGCAUGUUUCUCAGCUGGAGAACUGCUUCACGAAACUUUGGAGAAGUACAAAGUUUGAAGGAUGGCUGUGUUUCAGUUUGUGUAUUGGUUUCGAAAGUGUGGGUUAAGUAAGUUCUGCUUUAUGUGCAAACUGAGUUUAAUUUAUGUCCCAUCCCUAUCCAGGGCCAGCCAAGCCGUUUUUGGCACUUGAAGCAGAAACUCCCACAAGCACUUCUCUUUCCUGCCGAAGAGUAAAAUGUGACAAUAAUAAAUUAAAUAAUUACUGGCUUCUCCCGACACUCCAAAUCUGCCACCUGAGGCACCUGCCUCACCGACAGUAGGGUCGGCCUCGCUUUUGUCCCUGAGGAAGUUUACUGUCAAAAUGCGUAGGACAUCUCGGUUUUUAUAAGGACGUUUGGUCAAUUUAGAAACGUUCUGCAGUUCUGUUUCGAGGCCUUGCCUCAACUUUUGUGCCCUUGUGUUAGGUGUGCCCCAUUAGGUUCUUCUUAGAGAACAUCAAUAUUUGGUAGGGUUGUGGGACCGAAAUAGGUUCGCCCAGCCAAGCAUGGAGCAGGAUGGCAGUACUCACCCAGACUUCCACUGGAGCUCUUAUUUGCCAAGAAACAUUCAGCCUCUGCUUUUAUCAGCUCCCACAAAUUCAAGGAAGGCAUCAGAUCAGAGGUUCCCAAAUUGUGCUCCGCAAGCUUCAUCCAGGUGCUCUGUGGCAUUCCUGUGGGUUUUAAGUGGUCCCAAGAACCUCAUCAAUUUUCAAGCAGUCCUUGGGGGAAAGUUUGGGAGCCAUUGCCUUAGAAAAAUACCACAAGCAGGUUCGAACGCAAUGCACUCCUAGGAAAUUGUUUGUUAGGGGAGCGUUCACAUAAUGAGCUGAUGGUUUCCAUUAUUUCCUAUGGGAACAUUUUUAAUCCGUGAUCUCUCCCUCUCUCCUGCCACAGUUCCUUAAAUGGCUGCAGCCACAGGAAAGACUGAUUUGUCCAAUCUCCCUGGCUCCCUGAUUGGUCUGAUCUCUACCCCACUCCUUUUCUCCAUGGUUCCUGCCCCAAAUGGCUGCCAUUGACCAGCAAAGCUCAAACAAGUAAGGAAGUGGGGAAACUUUGCCACUCGGAUAUCUGAAACAGCUGCACAUGUAGUGAGAUUUGGGCAUAUUUCUUACAUUCAGAUAAGCGGAUUUUUUCCAUAACGAGUGGGCGGAUAGUAGGACCUGCAUGUUUAUGUAAUAUAUCUCCUUUUGGCAAAUGCAGCUUAUCUUGAGGCACAUUCUGUGGCCUCCAGUGCUACAGUUCAACAGAGGCAACCUUUGGCACAAACAGUGGACUGUUGCUUUUGAUGUGAUGAGUCCCAAACACCUCAGUUCUGGUCCCCCACCCCUCAAAACCAUGCUGUAUGCAGUUGUGAUAGAACUUAAAGUUGUGGGGAGAGAGAGACUUUGCCCAUGGCUAAGGAAUGAAUUUGUGCCUUGCUAAAUGCAGCUUGGACUUUUUAUCUGUUUUAGGUUUAGGGAUGCAAGCAGCACAAGCCACAGGUUUCUGAUUCUGAUGGGAACUUUGUGUGGGAGCUGCUUGGAAGUACCUGUGUGUUUAUCCAAAAUAAUAGCAAGUGACAAGUACACAAUAUACCUUCUUUGUUUCUGCUGCUUCAUCCAUGAUCUCAACUUGCAUUAUAAAUCACCUUUUAUCUCCUAAGUUUGAAGAUGCUGGACAUCACUGAAUAUACAAAUAAGUGCCCACAGAGUGGCAGUUUUGGAGAGUUGCAGAGGAGAGUCAAAGAACUGAGUCCAGACUCUAAAGAAAGCUGGGAGCAUCUUGGGGUGAUUAUGGUUCCUUCUGGUGACCUGUUGUGGGUAGAAAUGUGAAGGCACAGGGGAAAGCCCCAAGAAAAAAAUUGGUAAAAUCCCAUUUCCCCCCAACCUAAUUUUUCCAGUUGGAAAAAAAAAAUGUUCUGCCUUUUUUUCUGGGCCUUCACAUCUCUGAGUGGGGUGGAGUGAACUUUGGGUAUCUGUCAAAGUGCUUCACCUGCAUAUUUACAAAAACACCUUGGAGGUCCCGGGCCACAGAGUGGUUAGGCUGGCCUCAACCAGAGCCAGGGCUUUUUCGGCUGUGGCUCCAAUCUGGUGGAACGCACUGUCACAAGAGACUAGGGCCCUGCAGGACUUGACAUCUUUCCGCAGGGCCUGCAAGACAGAGCUGUUCCACCAGGCCUUUGGCCAAGGCACAGCCUGACCCCCUCCUUUGGUAAUCCUCACAGAACUCUAGCCCAAUGGUCACCAUUAAUCUGAGUUGAACUGAUUUUAUAAUGAAAUGAUUUUAGAAUGUUGUAUCAUUUUACAGUGGUACCUCAGAUUAAGUACUUAAUUCAUUCCGGAGGUCCGUUCUUAACCUGAAACUGUUCUUAACCUGAAGCACCACUUUAGCUAAUGGGGCCUCCUGCUGCCGCUGCGCUGCCGGAGCAUGAUUUCUGUUCUCAUCCUGAAGCAAAGUUCUUAACCUGAGGUAAUAUUUCUAGGUUAGUGGAGUAUGUAACCUGAAGCAUAUGUAACCUGAAGUGUAUGUAACCUGAGGUACCACUGUACUGUUGUUAGCCGCUCUGAGCCCGGCUUUGGCUGGGGAGGGUGGGAUAUAAAUAAAAUAUUAUUAUUAUUAUUAUUAUUAUUAUUAUUAUUAUUAUUAAGACACAAAUUCCAGUAAGCGUCCAGCAGAGUCCAUACCUUGGAAAUCACAAUACCCCCUAAACAUCUCACCACUUGGAGAACUGGGGCUUGAGUACCAGUAGAUAUAUAUACAUAUAUAUAUCUCUGGUGAGGAGUGCUUUCUGAUGACAGGGUAGUUUCUCCUCAAAUUCUCUAAAUAUUUCUCAUCUUUGUGACCAUUAGUUUUGAAAGAUACCCCCCUCAUCCCUGAAAGGAAAAGCGAGACGUGGUUAUUUCAAUGCUGACAUCUUGGCAACAAUUAUGGGGAAAGUUGUUUAAGUUGUUUCAGGGUCAAGCAAACAUGACAAGUCAGACGAUGCCUCCAGAUGCCAAAGAAGUUAAUAGUCUGUGUAAUGCUAACUUCUCUAAAUUCCUAGAAUUGCUGUGGUCUCAAAUAUUUUUGGUAUUUUUUUACUUUUGUAGAUUCAGUAAAAUGCUCUGCUAGUGCAUAUCUCAGCAAAAAGGUAACUCCCUGACACUGCAUAUACUUGAAGAAGUAAAAUAUCCCAUAUAAAAUAGAUUGGAGCUGCGCUGGCAUUAAAUAUGAUCUUGGAUUCUAUCCUUCAGUGUAUUUAUUUCUCGUGCACCAAACUUAUCAGAUUCAAGGUCUGAUACCAAGAAAAAUUCGGGCAAAGAGGGUGGCAGUGGUAUGAGGAGAGGAGAGGACAGGACUUUUUGGAAACUCUAUUCUUUGAGGGUUGAGUGAAGCCAAUACCUUCAUGGGCCAAUAGUCUGACUCAGUAGAAGUCAACUUCCUAUGUUCCUAGAAUUCCUCUCCAUGAUAUCCGAAUGGUAUAGUGCAGUGGUUCUCAACCUGUGGGUCCCCAGCUGUUGUUGGACUACAACUCCCAUCAUUCCUAGUCAGCAUGACCAGUGGUCAAGGAUGAUGGGAGUUGUAGUCCAACAACAUCUGGGGACCCACAGGUUGAGAACCACUGGUAUAGUGGUUAGUGUUGGACUACAAGGGAGGCCUGUAUUCUGAUUCCCCUUUCGGUUCACCUUAGGCUAUCUUGGACCAUGUCUCAGCCUACUCCAUCUCAAAGAGUUGUGAGGUUGAAAGGGAGAGCAUGUAUACACCUCGAACCCCUUGGAGGAAAGGUGGGAUGUGAAUGAAAUAAAACGUUUUAGAAGGGUUGUAAGGCAUAGUGAAUGUCUAUAUGGAAGAGAGGUCCGUUUUGUGAAUCCCCAUCUGAAGUUGUGCAAAAAGUGGGUGAAUUAUGGGGGGGGGGGGGGAGGUAGCAAGCCUGAAUGAAAUCUACAAGCCCCGCCUCCUCCCAAGGGUCAUGGUUGAGUGACAGAACAUCCACUUUGCACGCAGAAGGUCCGUAGUUCAGUUCCCAGCAUCCCUAGCUAGGGUUGGAAGAGCUCCUCUCUGAAACCCUGGAAAGUCAUUGGCAGUCAUUACUCAGUCAUACUGAGCUAGACGGACCUGUAGUCUGGUUCAGUCUACAGCCGCUUUUUAUGUUCCUAAUUGUAGUCUUUAAACACAGUAGGAAGAGGACAAACGCAACAAGCAAGUAGCCUAGACUUUUAGAGGUCUCUGCAUCUCAGAAACAAUUGGUGAUGUGAUCAACCUGUGACUCCACUGUACCCAUGGGACGUGGGUGGCACUGUGGGUUAAACCACAGAGCCUAGGACUUGCCGAUCAGAAGGUCAGCGGUUCGAAUCCCCAUGACAGGGUGAGCUCCCGUAGCUCAGUCCCUGCUCCUGCCAACCUAGCAGUUCAAAAGCACGUCAAAGUGCAAGUAGAUAAAUAGGUACGGCUCUGGCGGGAAGGUAAACGGUGUUUCCAUGUGCUGCUCUGGUUCGCCAGAAGCGGCUUAGUCAUGCUGGCCACAUGACCUGGAAGCUGUACGCCGACUCCCUUGGGCAAUAAAGCGAGAUGAGCACCACAACCCCAGAGUCGGUCACAACUGGACCUAAUGGUCAGGGGUCCCUUUACCUUUUACAGUGGAGACACAGGUUGAUCACAUCAUCAACUGUUUCUGAGAUGCAGAGACCUUUAGAUAGUGUUUUUAUAUAUGAUACCUUCAGAGGAGAGGCUGAUGGGCUUGUCAAGCUGAGAAGCUUGCCCAUCUAGAAGAAAGAAAACUCUGAUUCUAAACCUCCACCAGCUUAUGGCUACAGUGAUACCUCGGUUUAUGAACUUAAUCUGUUCCGGAAGUCCGUUCUUAAACCAAAACAGUUCUUAAACCGAGGCACGCUUUCCCUAAUGAGGCCUCUCGCCACCAGUGCCCUGCCACCGUUUGGAUUCUGUUCUUAGACUGAGGUAAAGUUCGCAAACCGCGACACUAUUUCCAGUUUUGCGGAGUUUGUAAACUGAAUCGUUCUUAAACAGGACUGUUCUUAAACCAAGGUACCACUGUGUACUCAUUUCAGAGAACGGCUUUGGGAGUAAACCCUGAGGAAAAAUCCAUAGCCGCUGCCUUGUGGGACAUUUUCAGGAAAAGAAAAGGCCAAGGAGUAAAUGCAAAUCUGGAGUCCCUAAGACAGUUGGAUGGUGUUUUGUGCACAUCCUUUCUGCAACUCCUGCAGCCAAGCUGGUGCCAAGUGUAUUGGUCUACUUUCCUUUGAACCACAUUAGCAAGGCCAAGAGGCAGCGGGGUGUGUGGAUCUUGUCAUCUGGGCAACCCAGGACCUCCAUGCACACUGCCCAGGCUUGCGCCCCAGAGACAUCACUUUGGUGCUGCUAAUGCGGCAAAAACAGUGCGGGAGGCAGCAGUUAUGACUUACCGUUCUCUACAGCCACAGCAGGCGCUGUGAUUCUCCAGCAGUUUGACUUCACCCCUGGAGGUGCACUCCGUUGUCUCUCAAGAUGGACAGAUGCCAACAACAACUUACAGAGGCAUGUGGGUGAAUGCAUUACGAAAAGUUAUUAUCAGAAGUCCAGACUUCUGUGGCAAUGCUUAGUACAUUUUACCUCUGUAGGAACUCUUUGCAUCACAAUAAUGGUGUCAUUUGGAAAUGUUAUAUCGAGAUACCACGUGCCAAGAUGGGCAACUCUCAUUCCUAGCUCCUCCAUUAUGCCCAAAUGAUACCCUCUGGUUUAAUACGUGACAUUUAAACUCCGUGGCAAGGAAGGGACGUGGGUGGCACUGUGGGUUAAACCACAGAGCCUAGGACUUGCCGAUCAGAAGGUCGGCGGUUCGAAUCCCCGCGAUGGGGUGAGCUCCUGUUGUUCGGUCCCUGCUCCUGCCAACCUAGCAGUUCGAAAGCACGUCAAAGUGCAAGUAGAUAAAUAGGUACCGCUCCGGCGGGAAGGUAAACAGCGUUUCCGUGCGCUGCUCUGGUUCGCCAGAAGCGGCUGUCAUGCUGGCCACAUGACCCGGAAGCUGCAUGCCAGCUCCCUUGGCCAAUAAAGCGAGAUGAGCACCGCAACCCCAGAGUCGGUCACGACUGGACCUAAUGGUCAGGGGUCCCUUUACCUAAGAUGACAAGGACUCAGGGCAUCAGUCUGCUUUGAAGCAAGGUGUCGGCCAAACUGCACCUGAAGCAAAAAUCAGGUUGAUCCUCCUCCCACCCACACUUUGCCAAGAACAGAGGCUGAAUCUUCUUUGCAAGUCUCAGAGCGUCAACUUGAGUGGACCCUUAAACAAACAAAUUCUGAUUAGGGGCUGAAUGAAGGGCUCGUCUGACAGUUAUGUGGUCGGUACACUCACUGGUCCCAACCAGAAUGAAUCACAAGUUCAGAAAAACAACAUGUGGGAGGAUUUUUAUGUAUGUAUAUUUGGUGUUUGUUCAGACUUGUGUGUACUCUGCUCUCUAAAUGGGCUACUCUGUGCUGGUAGCCAGCUACUGACUACUUUAAAUACUGCCAUGCCCGUUCACAGAUUGUAGAUAAAAGAUAAUGGCAGUACCUUUGGAGUGCUGCAAAAUACCUUCCCAGUUGCUCAACCAAACUGUGGGGCUGUGAAAACUUCUUGAUAAAUUUCCUUUCUGUUAUCUCCCCCUCAAAGAUUUGUGCAUGCUAAAGUUAGGUAGCUUAGCUUACAAGUGGGACUUACUUCUAGGUAAGUGGUAAGUGUGCUUAGCAUUGCCAGGGCCUCCAUUCUCCAGGGCCCAGCCUUACUGCAGAUUCGUUUUCUUCUUGAGAAACUGCAUGAUGCAUAGUUCAGUUCAAAUUGGACGCUAUAAACAAUGCCUACCAAAAACGAUUCUGGAGACGAGCCAUGUGAUCUGUAGCCUUUGGCUGCUGUUUGGUUCAUUGUAAUCUGGAACUAGUUAGCAGUGACCAAAAAGCCGAAUAACCAUCUGAUGGGUUUCCGGUUGAUUCUCUUCAGUUUCUCCUCAAACAUAUGUCUCCCAUAGAACCCGUAAUUAAAACAGGACCUCUCAGAAGUAGCUAUGCAUUUGUGGUUUUAACUCUUUGUAUUACAGAUGCCUCUGCCUUUUGAGGACAGUGCAGAUGAUAGAUGGGUUUAGGCAGCUUCUGUUGUGUGUCCUAAUUUGUCACUAGAUUGAUGCCUUGUUUAGUGUCUUGGGGCAAGAAACCAACUGGCAAGGUCAUGUCUUGGGCUAAUUCACAGACAAUUUGGCUGUGAAAACCUAUCAAGGCUAUGGAUUAGGCAUCUCAUAGGAAGAAAAUUAUCUUGUGGUCCAGGUCGUAUUGGUUUUGCAAAUGAAAAGGAUGGUCCGGUUGUUACAGCUGUAAUGCAGCAGCUGAAAAGCACUGGAAUCAACAAACGAUGAAAUUAAUUAUCGAGAGAGGAUACAAAAUUGGAAUCAGGUUGUGUAACGUACAAGGACCUAAUAUAGAGGAUUGUUAAAAGUAAAAUUUAAAAAUCAAUUGUAUUACAAAAGCUGUAUUAGAAGAGCUGUGAUCCUAACCCUAAUUACCCAGGUGGGAGUAAGUCCCACUGAAUUCAAUGGGACUUUCUUCUGAGUGUACAUGAUUAGGUUUGUGCUGUAAAUAGGGGUGAGCAGAUCUGUCUAUUCCCACCCCUCUCGUUUUCUCAUUUUUCCAGUUUUCACUUCAUUUCUUCACAUUUCCACAUCUCUCUCUCUCUCUCUCUCUCUCUCUCUCUCUCUCUGUGUGUGUGUCUGUGUGUGCGUAAAUUCUCAUGAAAAUUAAUUAGCCUUUGAGUGCAAAUUUCUCCUAAUCGCUUCUAUGCAAUUUUGCACUAUAGACACAAUAUCCCCUAAUACCAUGCAUUUUGCACUUUAUUUUCACCUGAUGUAUCCAUUCUAUGCAUACUUUACCCUGAUAUAUACAUAUUUGUAUGUAUUACUUUGCUGAAGAACUUCAUUACAAAAUUCAAAGAAGCGUGAAUUUUGAAGAAUUUCUUCGGUCGCUCAGUGUUUCAAGAGCUUGAAGGAUUAUGGAAGGAUGGACGUAGCUUAGUGACAGAGCAACUGCUUUGCAUGCAGAAGGUCCCAGGUUCAAUCCCCAGUGUCUCCAGGUAAGGUAAAAGGUAAAGGACCCCUGGACCAUUAAGUCCAGUCAAAGGUGACUAUGGGGUUGCGGCGCUCAUCUCGCUUUUCAGGUUGAGGGAGCGGUGUUUGUCCACAGACAGUUUUCUGGGUCAUGUGGCCAGCAUGACUAAACUGCUUCUGGUGCAAUGGGACACCGUGAUGGAAACCAGAGUGCAAGGAAAUGGCGUUUACCUUCCCGCCCCAGCGAUACCUAUUUAUCUACUUGCACUGGUGUGCUUUCGAACUGCUAGGUUGGCAGGAGCUGGGACAGAGCAACGGGAGCUCACUCUGUCAUGGGGAUUCGAACCGCCGACCUUCUGAUCGGAAAGCCCAAGAGGCUCAGUGGUUUAGACCACAGCACCACUUGCAUUUCCCCCCAGUAGGGCUGGGAGAGACCCCUGCCUGAAAACCUAGCAAGCUUCUGCCAAUCAGUGUACACAAGAUUGAGCUCAAUAAACCAGUGUUCUGAAACAGUAUAAAGCAGUUCCCUGUGUUGAAUUUGCAGAGAGUCUGCUGACAUCCUCAAUUUUGACUUUUAGGCAUCUCUUGAAGACUUAAAAAAAAGGCCUAUGCAGUUGUUGAUUUUUUUUUAUAUAAAUAAGUUUAAUAGAAAUACAUACAUAAACAGAAAUUAAACCUAUACAAAUAAUUUUCUCAGUAAUGUAUCAGUUACAUUCAUAUUAAAUUAAAAGAAGGAAAAACGAUGUCUAUUUUAAUACUAAGUCCCACUCCACCAAAGGUGCCCUUCCCAUAUUUCUUCUAUUGGUAUAGUAAAUAAGGUAAUACCAGGUUCUAACAUAAGUAGCUCAUUUACCUUGGCCUCUUAGUGUUUUCAUAUUGUUUGUAUUUUCCCCCGGAAGUGCUGCUUGCUAGACCUUUUGAUACGAAUAUUCCAAUGUAGCAACAAUGAAGUUCUUUCAAUGCCCGGCCCUUAUGUGACUCUCUUUUCUGCUGAUUUUUACUUAUAAUCUUUCAGCUGAAUAUAGAACCACAGGAAUCUAUGUUGCUAAGUUUUAUCUGGUUCAUUGUUUAAAUUUCACUCUUUUGUAAGGUUUUUUAAAAAAAUUUAUAAAUAAAACAUAUAGCUAAAGCACAUUGGGCCACUAGGAUCUUGUAAAUACACGCCUUUUUGUUUUUAAUUUAAGUGUGUGUGUGUCUAGUUUGCAUGCUUGCAGUGAUGUGAAAAAAUUACCAUUUUAAUAACAAUGGGACAACCAGAAACCAACAAUGUUUGAAAAUGUCUCAAGCUUUUAACAAUUAUUUUUGGGAGAUGGAACAAAAAAAUUCCUUAAAUCCUUACAAGGUGAGGUUGCUUUCUCUUUCUAGUACCCAAUAUCAUCACAGAACGCUUACAAAAUGUCAACAACUUGUGAUUUGUCUGACAACUUUAUGUUUCAAAUUAAAUUGACAUAUAAUCAAAUAGGGCAAGCAUAUCAAGCUUGCUACUAAAUUGUCUAAGUUGGUCAACCAUUGGCCCACUGCCCACUCUUCAUAAGGAAUGUGCCUGGAAGAUCCUGUGUGUGUGUGUUGUGGUUGUGGUUUUAUUUACAAGCCAGUCUGAGCAGGUUGUAUGGCAGUUUGUGGCUUGGAAAUUUCCAGAGUGACUAUCAAAGUGUGUAACCUCUUCCAGGUGGUAGCAGAUGGGUGUGAGAGGGUUUAUGUUGAUGUGGAAAUGAAGUGAAGUCACUGUGGUUUAUCUAGGGUGAAUGGAAUGGAAAUUCAUGUUCAUUCUUCCUUCCACCAGCCAAUGAUUGAUAUUCCUGUCAAGCAAAUUGUAAUGAUUGUAUUAGUGAUAGCUGGCAGAACCAUCUUUUCCAAUGGGUCGGAUCCUACUCCCAGAAAAAAAACAAGGUUGAAAGUGGUAAAUGAUGAGGUGUUCUGGUAUGCUUUGCGACAUAAGCCCAAACCAAUCUGGUUGCCAAUACAAGAACUGGCUAAACAUUGUUGCUUAUAAUGGGGGGAUUCUUGGGUCAUCAGAGUUGGGGGGGGGGGUUGCUUUAAAUUUCAUCUGAUCUCUUUGACCCAAACACAUCUACCUUGCAAACCACUUUGAGGGGUUUUUUCUACAACCAUUAGGCAUAUAAAUGCUGUGAAAUAAAAUAGAAAAAUAAAUAAAUAAAUACAAGUCAUGUUGAGCCACUGAAAUUUUCAAGAGCAAUUGUAAUUUAUGCCAGCUAAGAAAAUAAGGCAUCCGUGGUGUGUCUAUAUAGAGCAGGGGUCAGCAAACUUUUUCAGCAGGGGGCCGGUCCACUGUCCCUCAGAACUUGGGGGGGGGGGGGCGGACUAUAUUUUUUGGGGGGAAAUGAACGAAUUCCUAUGCCCCACAAAUAACCCAGAGAUGCAUUUUAAAUAAAAGCACACAUUCUACUCAUGUAAAAACACACUGAUUCCCAGACUGUCUGUGGGCUCAAUUUAGAAGGUGAUUGGGCUGGAUCCGGCCCCUGGGCCUUAGUUUGCCUACCCAUGAUAUAGAGAGAAGAGCAAUGCCGCUGUGAAAAGGGAGAUUGAGAACUAGCAAUGUUAAGUUAGUAGGUGACCCAAGAACACUUUUUGGCAUUACUUGGUAAACUAAAAAGGUGAUAAUAAAUAAAUGUGAUAAUUACGGUAGACGUUCAUGAGAGUGACACAUCUUUUGCUCUGUACCAGCUAUUCUGGACUGCCUAUUUACAAUACGCCACCAAAUUUGGCGCUGAUUGUACAGUCCAAUGAAGUUAGUGUUUCUGUUUUGUGAUAGCACCACCAGGACCUUAGUAGUUCUACACCUUCCCAAGCCAAACUACUGAGCUUGAUGACUGAUUACUUGGAAAGCAUGUGACAAAUGAAUUAAUGCUUCUGUAGAUUAUGGCACUAUUUUAACUGAGGUCUAAAGCCAAAACUACAAAACAUGACUCAACAUUCUGCCCACCCCCCUGCUUAUAUUUAAAUUCUUCUUCUUCUUGUUGUUGUUUAGUCAUGACCCCAUGGACCAGAGCACGCCAGGCACUCCUGUCUUCCACUGCCUCCCGCAGUUUGGUCAAACUCAUGCUGGUAGCUUCGAGAACACUAUCCAACCAUCUCGUCCUCUGUCGUCCCCUUCUCCUUGUGCCCUCCAUCUCUCCCAACAUCAGGGUCUUUUCCAGGGAGUCUUCUCUUCUCAUGAGGUGGCCAAAGUAUUGGAGCCUCAGCUUCACGAUCUGUCCUUCCAGUGAGCACUCAGGGCUGAUUUCCUUCAGAAUGGAUAGGUUUGAUCUUCUUGCAGUCCAUGGGACUCUCAAGAGUCUCCUUCAGCACAUAUUUAAAUUAGCUUCUUCUUUUUCUGAGCUUUCUAGAAGAACGCACAGAAAAUAUUCAGAUUCAUUACUGAAAAUUAGUCAAGGGAGUCUCAACAACCUACAGAGGAUGGUUCCCCAUCUCUCCUUUAGCUGUACUCAUGAUAUAAUUAUAUUUAUAUGUUUAUAACGUGAGAGGCUUUCUGUUCUCAGAUUUGUUAAAGCCCACCGCCACUGCUUAAGAUUAUCGUGCGAAGAUGACUUUAAGUCUUGGCACUCUGAGGUGAUGUAGCUUCUCUUGGUACAAGUUAACGUGCUUUGAGAGGUCACUUGUAAACACUUCCCUGCUACAGGCUGUUUCUUCAAGUCAGAUUGUUAUAGGUCAACUAAUUUAAGAUGUUUCUCUUUUUGGAAGAUGUUUUUACGUGCAAAAAGAGAAUGAACUCCUUGCAUGGGAAAAGGUCAAACAAAUGGAAAGAGUUUUGAUAUGGUACCAUUGUUAUAGUUGCCCCUUCGGUGCAUCAUAAACCUAUGUAAUCCUUACAAAAUCUACAUUAACAAGGUGACACAUUACUUUGUUUCCAGAUCACUUCUACCUCCCACAGAUAGUAUUGUUCUGUUUUCCAUCAUAGUAGAGAACCUGAAGGCUUUACAGAGUUGUUGAAUCAUUGCUUAUUACACAAAGAUUUUUUCCAUGUGUUCGUUUGUUUUCUUGCUUAAUGCUCAUCAUGUGCCUUGUUUAGUCAUCUCUCCCACAUGCCAAAGAAUGGCCUCCUUCCUGUACCAUAGACAGUAAGCAGGACUAAUGCUGGUGCUCUUUGGGGUUCCCCACAAGUAGCAAUAGCGACAGGAGACCCACAAGGCAGGGGGCUUCAUUUAUUAAGUCAUAGUUGAAAGUGACAUUCUCCCAGUAAGGUUUGGUAGGAGAAAAUGGAUUUCUUCUGUCCCAUUUUAUAAUUCUUUCCAUGGUUUGGCUGUGCGUCAUGGUUUGUUCCAUCUACUUUUUUUUUUUUUAACAUGGAGAUCUUCUAAAGUGAAGAGUGUGAUUUUACAUUUUUGUCACUAGGUGGAUCUGAAAUAGAUGCAUCUGGGUGGAGUCAGGAGUUUCUUGAUAACCAAGUUGGUUAAGAAAGACAGUAACAUUCUCUGCAAGUUCCUAACUUGGUGAUUUUAGCAUGUCACCUCUUGUUUCAUCCAUUAAACAUGCCACUAAGGUAGUUAAAAAUUAUUUCAAAAUUAAGGAAGUUAAGUUAUGAAUCUGCAAUGCUUGUUAGAAAUUGCUUUCAGAUGGUCAUGUAAUUAUUCUCUCUUAGAUCAGGUGUGGUUAUCAUAAGGUGAAAUUGAUUAAAUUAAUGUAUCUAAGAAUGAAAGAGAGGAGACUAUCUUUAUUAUUUCAGUGACAAAAAAGUCCCUUUUCAUUUCUUCUACGGUUUAGGAUUAAUCCAAGGGUAGCCAAUGUGAUAUUCUCCUAUAUGUUUUGGACUGCCACUUCCACAAUCCCUUACUAUUCCUAGGCUGGCUGGGGCUGUUGGGUUGUAGUCCACAAGUUUAGGAGGGCACCACAUUGGCUUCCCCUGGUUUAGCUACACAGAACAGAAUCCAAAGUUGUAUUUUUUAUAUUGAUGUAUAAUAGCAGUUUGUUGUUAGCAUUUUAAGCUAUAUCAAUUUUUAUCUGUUCUUUAUAUUGUUGUCAAUAUGAGAGCUUUGAUGCUCAGGGCCUGAAUGGCUAAUUCCCAUUUGAACAAAGUAGGUGGGGCAAAGCUCUGUCAUAGAAUCAUAGAACUGUAAAGUUGGAAGGUACCUCAAGGGUCAUUGAGUCCAAGGACCCCUGCAAUGCAAGAAUCUCAGCUAAAGCAUCCAUGACAGAUGGCCAUCCAAUCUCUGCCAUCUGCAACCUCCCAUGAAGGAGAGUGCACAACCUCCUGAGGGAGACCGUCCCACUGUUGAACAGCUUUUACUAUCAGAAAGUUCAUCCUGAUGUUUAGUCAGAAACUCCUUUCUCACAACUUGAAGUCAUUGGUUUGAGUCCUGCUCUCCAGAGCAGGAGGAAACAGGCUUGCUCCACCUUCCAUGUGACAGCCCUUGAGAUAUUGGAAAGUGGCUAUCAUAUCUCCUCUCAGUCUUCUCUUUUCCAAGCUAAACAUACCCAGCUCCUUCGAGCGCUCCUCAUAAGGCUUAGUUUCCAGACCCUUGAUCAUCUUGGUUGCCCUCCUCUGCAUGUGUUCCAGCUUGUCAAAGUCCUUCUUAAAUUGUGGUGCGGGCACAGUAUUCCAGUUGUGGUCUGACCAAGGCAGAAUAUAGCUGUACUAUUACUUCCCUUAAUCGGGAGUCAACACUAUACUUCUGUUGAUGCAGCCUAGAAUAGCGUUAGCUUGCUUUUUUUUGCUGCUGCUGCUGCAUCACACUGCUGAUUCAUGUUAAGUUUGUCAUACUCUAAGACUCCUAGAUCCUUUUCACAUGUACUACUGUCACCUUAGGACUCCUUUUGUUGUUGUUUAGUCGUUUAGUUGUGUCCGACUCUUCAUCACCCCAUGGACCAGAGCACGUCAGGCACUCCUGUCUUCCACUGCCUCCUGCAGUUUGGUCAAACUCAUGUUAGUAGUUUUGAGAACACUAUCCAACCAUCUCGUCCUCUGUCAUCCCCUUCUCCUUGUGCCCUCCAUCUUUCCCAACAUCAGGGUCUUUUCCAGGGAGUCUUCUCUUCUCAUGAGGUGGCCAAAGUACUGGAGCCUCAGCUUCAGGAUCUGUCCUUCCAGUGAGCACUCAGGGAUGAUUUCCUUCAGAAUGGAGAGGUUUGAUCUUCUUGCAGUCCAUGGGACUCUCAGGAGUCUCCUCCAGCACCAUAACUCCUAGAGUUCGAUUUUAAUUAAACUGGAUUGCAGCAACAGCAGCACCAUGGCCAUCAUUUGGGGAGUGAAAAGGAGAGAGGCAAGAGGACAAAUCCAGAUAGAAGUGGAGGUUAACAUUUGAUCCUGAGUGUGCAAGGACUGGAGGACACUAACUCUUUGCUGGAGCUAUCUUUCCCUCUUCCUGAUAGGCUGAACUAGAGGAAGGAUGCUAACUAUACUGUUCUUGAAUAUAGUUCACCUGGGGGGGUUUUAGGUAACAAUGAAAAAAAAUGCACGUGGACCAUGUCAUUCAGUAGGAGUUCCUGAAUUGCAGAAUUUAGGUGGUCUUGUACCCAGAGGCCGCUUUCGACAUCCCCCAUCCAGAUGCCUGUAAGGAACUUCUAUGGUGGCCCCAGCUGUUCUGUGACCACAAGAAUCUCCAGACAAUUCAGGUCAUUGAAUGUGGACUAUAUAAAAAAGGUGGAGCUAAAGAGAAGAGGAACUGAAACAAGAUGCCAUUCACCUCUGCUUCACUUUGUAUCUGACACAUCCGUGCUUAAAACUGGUAGUUUUACUGGAGUGAUUGUGUGGCUUUCAGAACGUUCACAGUUGGUUAACGAAGUUCCUUGAAAUAUUUGGGCAGGAUGCAUUUAAUUGUACAUAACAUAUGGCUUUUCUUUUUGCAGCGCUGUAGAGACAUUAAAAAAAAAAAAGCUGCUCCUUCUCUUUUCGCCUCUACUGUGCAGCUGUGAAAACCACAUGCUUGCUUUCCAGGUUGGGCGGUAGCAACAUAAUCACUGUGCCUAAUGUAUUAGAAUUAGUAGUCUGGGGAGGAAAGCACCAUUCCAUUGGUAGAUAAAGCAGUGUAAGAGAAACUUAUCAGUGAUCAUAUAAGGAUGUGGAUUUCAUUAUACCUCACAGAUAUGAGAUAGGAGUUUUGCGACUUGCUAAAUGUCCGUAUUUGGAUUAAAUACGGAAGCUUGUUGAAUACUAAACAUAACCUGCAACCAAAGCCAACAAACAUGACAUCUGACAUUUUUUGGUCACAUUAGAAAGGCAAGCCUACAGCUUUUGGGAAAUUUUAAUUAAGUGGUAUAUCAAUGUCCUACUGGUCCAGCAGGUCGAUAGAAGUUUGAGAACCACUAUGCUAGAUAGUAAAAGGUAAAGGGACCCCUGACUGUUAAGUCCAGUCACGAACAACUCUGGGGUUGCGGCACUCAUCUUGCUUUAGUGGCCAAGGGAGCCGGCGUACAGCUUCUGGGUCAUGUGGCCAGCAUGUGGUGAACCAGAGCAGUGUACGGAAAUGCCUUAUACCUUCACGCUGGAGUGGUACCUAUUUAUCUACUUGCACUUUGACGUGCUUUUGAACUGCUAGGUUGGCAGAGGCAGAGACCGAGCAACGGGAGCUCACCCUGUCGCGGGGAUUCGAACCGCCAACCUUCCGAUCGGCAAGCCCUAGGCUCUGUGGUUUAGACCACAGCGCCACCCAUGUCCCAUGCUAGAUAGUAAGACUCAUCAAAUAUAGUGGAACUUACCUUUCGAAUGACUUGCACAGAAUUGUACUGUUGGGCUGCCAACUUAUAUACACAGUUAUCUGAGAUUAAAUUCUAUUGAACUCAUUGGACUUACUUUUAAGUACACCUAUGUGUGAUUGCACAGUUAAUGAACAUUGGGAUAGGAGGAUUUCCCCAUAAUAAACUAUCAAUGUAUAUCCCUUAUUCAAAUGAUGCAAUAACGCAUAUGGACUUCCUGAGUAAGGAAUUUUUGUGUAGAUCUUUUAUAAAGUUACCACUUUAUAAAAUAUUUUCAAUUGAUUUUGACUUUUACCAUCUUAUUAGUACACAUUUUGCACAUAUGGUAGAAUCCUAGUCAGUGACACGAAAUGGAAAGAAUUAUGUUUUGAAUCACUUGGAAGGAAGGAAGCCAUGAUGUCAUUCUCUGUUCAGUGUGGUUCCUUUUUUAACAAACUGAAACAAUUCGGUACAUGCGUUUUGUAUUUUGUGUACAAAUGUAAUUAUGGAAGUCCAUUGUCCACGAGAAGUGUCCAUUUCCUGUUCCUGUUUUCUCACUGGAUGCAAUUUGCAAAUUUAGCUGUUAUGGCUUUGCUCCAUAGCUUUCAUGGCAUCUCGCACUGAAAAAAAGUUCUGUAACCCUUCAUAUACAGACAGCCACAACAGGCGAAUUCUUUUACAUAUUGCCUUUAGCUUAUGGGAAACGGUGGCAAAGAAACCAGUGUUUGAUGUGUCCACCCAUAUAUUUGUUUUAGCUGAUGACAUGAUUGUAAUAUUCAUAGUGGCUUUCUGCUAGAUCAUCUCUGCCCGCAGAAGGAUUCCUGGAUGUGAUAUAUCAGAAUGUACUUGUUGGCAUGGUGCAUAUUGUGUAAAUAGCACUUUCUGUGGUCCAUUGUGGAAUUGGAACAGAUUUGUGUUUUGGCCAGUCUUCCUGGCUUGAAUAGCACUUUUGUGCUGACAUUGCUGUUGCCCGGUAUUGCGGGUUUCAGGAGGCUAAUGCAAAUGACUAUAGCAAUUUGGCGUGCCUGUUCACUGCUUUAUGGUGAAAUCGGAAGGGGAUAUAAUAAACACAUCCAGGACAUGUGAAUAUUUGUGAAUGCCACAAAUGUAAAGUGUCGUGUUUACCAAUGGCAUAUGAUGCCAAUUAUAUGUUUGCUUUAACUUGUCCUCCGAGGAUUUCAGGCACACAAAAGCCAUUGAAAUGAUACUAGAGGCUUGCAACCAGCAUUUUGUCUGGUAAAUUCCAAUAUGCCAUCCUCUCCUUGUCACUCUGGAGACCUGACCAGCAGACCGUGGGCGACUCUCUUCUGUGUCUACCGCACACAUAUCCCUAUUGCAGCCUCUUUCUGGUGCUCUCAUCCCCAGCACAUAGCUUAUAUGCACAGGGGGAUCAUGGGGACAUGUGUGCCAACCCGACUGCCAACAUCUCCACUGGCUCCAACCUGACCUUCUAGCAUUGAGUGGGAAGGUCUAGAGGAGAUUGUUUGCAUGCCCUUCCUGUGACUGGGGACCCUGAUUGCACUUUCAGUCAUGGGGAGGAUUCUAAACACAUUCAGCUGAAUGCAUGAAGGAUCUCCAGACCUUCAGUCUCCACGUGUAAAGGUUAGGUGGAGCCAAUGGUGAUGUGGAAGUUGGGUGUGCUUCUGUUGCAGCACGAUCCUCUUUGCAUGUUUACUUAGAAUUAAGUCUCAGUAAAUCCAGUAACUCUUACUGCAUCCUAUGUAACAAUGUGAGCCAAACUCUUACCUUACAAGGCCUCUGACUGCCAGUCCAUCCUCAAUCUGGUCUCCUGCCACUGCCCUCUUGAUCCUCGAUCUGAUUUGGUUGAUUUCUGACUACAAUUCCAUCCCUGAUUAUGUGUCUAGCCUCUGGCCGUUUGUUUUCCUUAGAACCUGAUAUUGACCUGUUUAGAGUGGAUCAUGUCAUUUGUGUAUUUACCUGCUCAGCCCUUCUACAGAAGAACAAGUCUGGCUGAAGAACAGCCAGCAUGGCUUCCACAGAGGUCUAUCGUACUAACCUUUUUUAGAGGGUCAGUAAGUAUGUGAAUAUUGGUUGUUAGAGGGGAGUGCAAUUGCACCCACAAUCUAUUUGAGAGCUUCUCACUGGUUUAUGGUUCCCCACUGUGACAACAGGAUGUUGCAUUAGAUGGGUCUUUGGUCUGAUCCAGCAGCUCCCAUCUCUACAUCCUUGGAAAUCUUUUAUUAAAUGACACUUGAUCAAUUAUUUUAAUGAUGUACAUCACCACGUUUCCUGUGCUCCUACAUCGGUUUGUGCUGCUUGAGUCGUCUUUUCUCAUUCCUGGAUUAGGUCGUAUUCGUUCCAUCUGUUAAACAUUUUAGCUCCAAGCUUCUUCCUGUCUAGUUAAACCACAUCUUCUUAUCCAUGUGUAUUUGUUGUUGGGCUGUGUCAUGCAGCAGGUUCCUUUCCUUGGGCCAAGUGAUGUUCAUGUGUUGAUCAGAGGAAGUUUAUAAAAAAAAAAAAAUCAAGAGAGAAGGAAAAUGUGGUUGAACCACAAGAGAUUUGAGGCAGAAGAUCAAAAAUAGAGAUGCUGGAGCAUGGAAAACCAAAAUAGCCAAACCAUCUGGGAAGAGGCUGCUGGGCAAAUGGAAUUGAAAGCUUCUGUGACCACGAUCAUGGAAGUCUUUCCGUUAUCAGACACACACUUUUAAAAAUAAGGUCCUAAUUUGGUGAGUAGCAAAUGUUAUACCCCAUUUUCUAAAGGGCUGUUGCUUAGCAGCUGUUAAUUGAUUUAAUCAGUAAAAUAAAGGUCAGUUACCAGAGGCACUGCCGUGUUAGAUUCUUGUGGCACCUUAAAGACCAACACAUUUAUUAUGACAUGGUUGGUGAGUACAGCAUCAGUUAAAACUGGUAUUUUCCCAUAGCCAGCCCAGCAUAAAAAGCUUAAGGGAUGCAGAGGUUCAAUUCAGCCAAUGACACCUUAGUUUUUUUAAACACAAUGGUGCAUAGUUCUUUCUAUGACAUGAGACUUUCUUGGAUUUGAAUACAUAUGUGAAUACAUAUGAGCCAGUGUGGUGUAUUGGUUAAGAGUGGUAGACUCGUAAUCUGGUGAACUGGGUUCGAUUCCCCGCUCCUCCACAUGCAGCUGCUGGGUGACCUUGGGCCAGUCACACUUCUCUGAAGUCUCUCAGCCCCACUCACCUCACAGAGUGUUUGUUGUGGGGGAGGAAGGGAAAGGUGAUUAUUAGCCGCUUUGAGACUCCUUAAGGGGAGUGAAAGGCAGGGUAUCAAGUCCAAACUCUUCUUCCAAACAUAUGUUGUAGUCCGCUGCUUUUGCCAUACACAAAAAAAAUUCUAACUAGGGACAGGACAUUAGGUGUAGAAUUAUUAAUUUCCAGCUUCAUCAGGGUAAGUAAUAUGGGCAAUAAUCACCUAACUCAGACUCAGAAAAGGCUCACUUAAAUAAGUGUUCUUGGUCUAUUUGGUCUUAGGUUUCAGUGACUCCGGUCUGAGUUUGACUAGUGUUGGCUAUAUAACCCUAUCUUGUCUUGCCCUGUUUGUUUAAAAAGGUAAAGGGACCCCUGACCGUUAGGUCCAGUCGUGGACGACUCUGGGGUUGCGGCGCUCAUCUCACUUUACUGGCCGAGGGAGCCGGCAUACAGAUUCUGGGUCAUGUGGCCAGAUUAAGUGCUUCUGACGAACCAGAGCAGCGCACGGAAACGCCGUUUACCUUCCUGCCGGAGCGGUACCUAUUUAUCUACUUGCACUUUUUGGGGUGCUUUCGAACUGCUGGGUUGGCAGGAGCUGGGAUCAAGCAGUGGGACCUCACCCCUCCAUGGGGAUUUGAACCGCCGACCUUCUGAUCGGCAAGCCCUAAGCUCUGUGGUUUAGACCACAGCGCCAUCCGCGUCCCUGUUUGUUGACCAUUCCUCAAAUGUAGGCAAACAGAAAUAAACAAUCGGAUUACAAAUGCCCAAUUUAAAGCUGGUUUCAUGACAACGUUUACCUGUGCAUUGUUCUGUACUGCAGAAUGAGAGCAAUGGAAUAUCCCAUUACAGGGACCCACAGGAGAUGCUUCUGUCCAGAUGUCCAGGCAGGGGCAGGGGGCCACAGCACUCCCAAUGUGCAGUCCAGUGGGGGAUUUACUCCUUGAUGUAGGUUAGGGACUCCCUCAUUUUUGGUUGAUCCCAAAACCUAAGUUCAUUCAGCAGGCAGGCCAGAAAGGGCAGGGUCUACCCAAUGCCUAUGCAAAACUGCUUACAUUGGUAGUCAAUAAAGUUGUGGCCUGAUUUCACCCAAAUAUUUGUUGUCAUGCCUCUUAUUCUUGGGAGGACCGAAGGAUGGGGGGAGGGGAUGCAGAGCACACCCUUUAUUUGGUAUUUUCCCCUGGUGGUGAGGCUGGUCUCUAGAAAUUGGGAGGGUGAUAUUCUGUGACCAUCAUGAGCCACUCAGCACUUUCAGGUUUAGAUUGGAAAUGAAGUGUCUUUUUUUUGGCGUUUUUGGAAGAAGAAGAAGAAGAGGAGGAGGAGGAGGAGGAAGAAGAAGAAGAAGAAGAAGCAGCAGCAGCAGCAGCAGCAGCAGCUCAACAAAGCAGUUCCUGACUUUAUAAGAACUUGUCCUUGUUGUAUUGUUGGAUGAGCAUUUUGGAAGUGUGCGUUGAACAUUGUUUUGAAUUUGCCUUUUAAUUUAUUUUAUCAGUUUGUAUUGCAUUUUUCUUAAGUUGCUUUGAGACAUCUGUUUUUUGUGCAAAGCAACUAACAUGAUGAUGAUGAUUGAUAAUUCCCAUGUUGUUGAUUUCACACUUAGUGAAAUGUUGGGCUAGGGUAAUCGUUGCAGACAACCAAAUUGAAUGGGAGGCUGAAGAAAAUGUGAGGCAUUCAAGAUGUUAAGUCGGAAUGUAUUAGUCUUGUUAUGCUUGUAAUAUGUUGGCCGCCAUCAAAAUCUAAGAGGAUUUGCAAGCAGUGAAAUAAAUGUCAGCCUGCCCUAUUGGCAAGCAGGUAUUUUUUUUCCAGUUUGGUGGAUUCUUUUUUUAUAAUGUCACUUGGCAAAUUGUGUGCGCUUUCGGGGACUACAUCAAUCAUAAUAACUAAGAAUGUCACCUUUGCAAGGAGAGAAGCGGCCCAGCUGCUUCCUUGAAAUCUGUAUGUCAUCCUCAGAGACUAAAUGAAAUAAUUGAAGUAAUUGAAAUUUAUUUUAUCCUACCUGCCGCCACCAUUUCAUGUAACAUAUAUUAUUUAAGGGAGUUGGCACAUAUUUAAAUUUGUGGAUUGAACAAUUUGUGAUAUUCAGGGGUGUAAAACUUAAGUGCACUGUGGUGUUUGCCCUCCUAGGUGGGUCAUAAGGAAAGGGUUAAAUGAGUGUGAAGUGAUUGGCCAGUGGGAACCCAAGGGGAGGAGUUAGAGUUGGAGUUGUUGGGACGUCAGUUGGGAGUUGGAGAAGGAAGAGGGAGGAUAAGUCUGUGGGUUGGUCUAGUUUUGAUGUGUAAGAGUGAGAGAAUCUGUUAGGAGGAGUCAGAGAGACAGUUGGCAUAAUCAGUUCGAAGUUAUUAGGAAGGUAUAGGCCGGUAAAGAAACUAAGAUUAAGUAACUGACAAGAAAAAUUAUCUGAAACCAUAAACUUGUUAAUGCUUAUAAAAUAAACUUGCUUAUUUGUUUUAAUGUUAACAACUGUCUGGACUCUGUGUGUACCCGAGAGAAACGGGUUGGUGGCAGCGGGGAAGCAAUCACAGUGGUGGCACAGGGAUCAAUAGACCGUCAAACGUCCGGGGACCCUGUGUGAUCACCACAUGCACGUUACUUAAUCUAGAUGUGGGUGACGAGGCUUCCUCGCUAGGGCUUUGUUGAGUGUAUAAUUUGGGGGUGGGGAGAGCAAUAAAAGCAGAGUUUUCUUGCUAAUGAAGCAUGAAGGCAGUGAAGGAAAUGGGGAAAUAAACAAUUGCGCAUUAAUUGGGGCCACAGGCUGUUAGUGUCUCAUCAGGCUCUUUGCCAGCUUAGUAAAACAAAUCUCUUUCCUAAAGGAGUCCUAAAGUAAUACAGUUUUUCAACCCCUGCUGUCUUACUAAAAGUCCCUGGAACAUGCUGGGGAUUUUUGAGAACUGGUGGCUACUGCUGUCCAAGUGAAAAGAAAAGGGUAGCUGUGCAGCUCUCUUGAGGUGAAGCGAAUGGCUUGCAACAUUAAAUCAAUUCUAAAUGCAUCCUCUUGCACUGUUGGCUUUCUCCUGAAGGCUGUGAUACAAAGAUAUUUGCUUGAGUCUUAUUUCAUUCCUCUGUUUCAUUCCACCAACUCUCCUCUCCAUCUGCAGCUCCCCUUCUCCCCAAAUCUUUCACCAUUGCAUGGGUUGUUCGGUUCCCAACACACAGGAGGCUGCAGGGGAAAAGGGAGAGAUAGGAAAGUCUUGCUCUGUUCAUGUCAGCUGUCUUCUGUUCAUGGAAUGGAAGUGGGGAUCCAAGCCGCUGAGCAGAGCCUGCGUUUCACAACAUGUUGACAGCAAUGCAACUUGACAAAUAGAAUGACAUCAUCGGGGGGAAAGGACUAUGAUACUGAAGGUAGUUUCUGGGAAUUUGCUGGUGUUUGGGGUGAUGUUUGGCUCACCAGGAGGCAGGUGUGUGUGUAUCAUGUCUGGUUUUGAGUUUGUUUUUAUUAAAAGGAAACUACAAACCUCAUGUAAUAAUAGGCAAAGGCACAUGCUUGUUAUUCAUUGACAUGAAGUCACCCUGUCGUGCGAUGUAACUGGGGGACCAGGCCAGAGGACAUUUUGUGUAAUUUUCCUUUCAAGUAGACUGCCAUCAUCUCCCUUCUGCUCCCUAGCACUGAAGUGAGAGGCACCUCAAUACUAGGGGGAUUUACCUAACCGUAGGUAAAUGUGUAAAUGUGGAGAACUGAAUGGAAAAAUGAGAAACUGAGAUUGACAGAGUAGCUUCAUCAUUGUUAUUUUAUUUGUAUGCUUCAUUCACUCAAUAUGACUUACAAUGCGGAACGAUUUACAUAAUUACCGUAUUUUUCGCUCUAUAAGACGCACUUUUCCCCUCCUAAAAAGUAAGAGGAAAUGUGUGUGCGUCUUAUGGGGCGAAUGCAGGCUGCGCAGCUUUCGCUGAAGCCAGGAGAGCAAGAGGGAUCGGUGCACAGGAGGAGAAAUGGAAGGGGCUCCAUUUCUCCUGCUGCUUCGCUGAAGGGGCGCUGCGCAGAGAGGGAAAGCUGCGCAGUGCCCCUUCAGCGCAGCAGCAGGAGAAACGGAGCCCCUUCCAUUUCUCCUCCCACUUUGCUGGAGAAGCGCUGAGCAGAGAGGGAGAGAAUUUUUUUUUUUUCUUGUUCUCCUCUAAAACUAAAACUGCAUCUUAUGGUCGGGUGCGUCUUAUAGAGCGGACAAUACGGUAUGUACAUAACAAAAGUAACCCUAAACAAUAAAUGAAACACAUCAAAAAGUACUGCAAAAUUUGAACAAUUUUCACAUAAAUUAUAACAAGAUCUAAAAAUAAAGAUGCUGAAAAUUAAUAUCGAUAGUAGCAACAAAAACGUGAUUCUACUUGCUACUUAAGGGUGCUUGUCCUACAUUGGUUCAGAUAUUAAUUUGUUACAUUUCAUAUUCUGCCUUUCUUCAACCAUGGCAGUGAAAAUGGGGGUCCUAAGUGGUCUCUCAUCCAAUCACUCGCCAGACCUCAACCUACCUAGCUUCACCAAGGCUGCUGCAUCAUGUACCUUCAGAUCAUAUUAUAUUUUGUACCGUUAGUAAUAUAAUCUAUUUGAUUGGUGUAGGUCAGUUCAGUUUUGAGUGUGUUGCUAAAACAAAACAACAACUAGAUUACUUAAUGGGCAGAACAGUUUAAUGAAAUUGGCAGCUCACUCACAUUCCUCCCCAGUCCAGGAAAGGUUUUGCAGAAGCAUGAGACGGCUGAUUAUUAUAUUUUUAUAAAUUUUAUUUACAACGUAACAUAAACCCCCCACCCCCAAUAUACAAAUCCACCCUCAUUAAACAUGAACAUAACAUACAGUGAGCAUAACAUACAACAAUACAAACAACCAAAUAAAAUACUUCCUUUAUCCUUUAUGUGGCCUCCUUAUUUACUACUUAUAAACUGUUUCCUUUAUGAAUAAUUAUUAAGAUUUUCCUAAUUAUAACUUAAAUAUCCACAAAGUCUCCUGCAGACAUUAAUCAAAACAAGUCCAGGUAUGUAUUUUAGGGCACUGUUUUGUGAAGUAUUCUCUGCAUUUCCCCCAUGCUUUUUGAAACUCUUGUCUAGUGCGAUCUCUAAUUGCCUUUGUUAAUCUAGCCAGUUUAAUAUACUCUAUCAGUUUGUCUUGCCAUUCCUUGAGACAACUGAAAAAACCGUCCUGUAACAGGACAUCCCUAGCUUGCUAGAUCAAAAGAAGGCCUCUCUAGCUCGCCUGGCCUUGAAAGUGAUGUUUGAUUCAACUCCCACAUUUGCCCUUUGCAAAGCUUGCUCUCUUACUGACCAGCCUGCUCUUCCUAGACUCAGAACUGACCCUGAGUCAAGGAACGCCAGCCUCAUACUCUGCAACACUGCAUGAGAGGGUGAAUAAGGUGUUGUUGGUUGUUGGUCUUUUCCCAAAUAUUGUCAAGGGGCACGAGAAAGUCCUUGUUUCCCUGCUCGCUUGCUUUUAUCUGCUGACAUGCAUAAGGGAGCAGCCAAGCUGAUCGGUUUCUAACAUCCUGCCUCAGUUCUGGAUUGCCCCAAGGGGGGCACAGGUGAAGGAUUUGGAAUGAGCGUUCCCACUGCACACAACAGAAGGUUUAAAUUAGGAAAUGGAAGGAAUGUGUUGCUCCAAACAAUUUUGCUAUAGACCAGUUUCAUGCAAAGCUGACAGUCUUACGCUGGGAGCUUCUUGCAUUUAGUUAGCAUUACCUUUGCUAGCAUGUUCAUGGAAGUCAAUCUUACUCGGCUACGAGUGAUCGCCAAAGAAGAAAAAAGGGCAUUCUCAACUGGGCAGGUUGGAAGCCUGGUGUCUCAUGUCUUUGUAUCAAAGUUGAGCUUUAGAAUGAGACGUUUUUGGAAGAUACAGUGGUACCUUGGGUUAAGAACUUAAUUUGUUCUGGAGGUCUGUUCUUAACCUGAAACUGUUCUGAACCUGAGGUACCACUUUAGCUAAUGGGGUCUCCCGCUGCUGCCACGCCGCUGCCGCACAAUUUCUGUUCUCAGCCUGAAGCAAAGUUCUUAACCCGAGGUACUAUUUCUGGGUUAGUGGAGUCUGUAACCUGAAGCGUCUGUAACCUGAGGUACCACUGUAGAGUAUUACAGUCCUGAUCAUGAAGGAUCCAGUGAAGUUGUGGGGCUUAAAGCCAUAACCCUAUGCAUGUUUACUCAGCUCUCUCACUGAUUUCAAUAGGAUUCCUUAAUAAACAUGCAUGGGAUUGCACUCAGGCAAGGCAAACCAAAGCAUCCACCAUAUGAGUUUAUAGCUGUAUAAUGCCAGCAUAGCAUAGACAAGAUCAUAUGUACUCCCAACAGACAAACUGAGGGGUGGGUGGGAAAUGAAUAUAAAAUGAAUGCAUAUAAAAUGAAUACAAUUUAAAUGUGAUUUGUGUGUGUGUGUGUGUUUUAAUCUGCAAUAAAGUGGGCCAAGAUAAACUCUGACAGAACGCAUGUGAAACUGACAUGGAAUCAAAGUAGAUUGGUUCAUCCAUCCCUACCAAGAGUCGAUGAUUGCAUAGGAGAUAAGAAAAAGUUCUGCAAUCAUGCUUUGAGGCAAGGUGCUCCCCUUUCCUUUAACUUCAGUCGAAUGGGGUGGUCAUGGACCCCCAGUUUGGGAGAUGAAGCAAAAGUUCCUCUUGGCUGGUUUAGAACUCUAAAGCAGAAUGCCUAUUUAAGUGGUAGCAUUUAUUCUCCCUAUAUUUGUUCUGAAGCCCUUUCCACGAUAGUUUCCAUCAGGGAAGUUCUUUCCAUUUUCUCACAAGGUUGGUGGCAUUAGGCCAGAGGAGUGAUAAACAGUCCCUGCGAUCCCUGUUGUCUUUUUUAUGGCUACCCCAUCAAGGUGUCAUAUUCUGGUACUUUGUGAAUGGCUUCAGACUAACCACAUUUAUCCAAUGCUGUGUUGUGGCUAUGUGGGCAGGAGCUGGGAUGGUGAAAUAUACUUGGAGUCGAGUGUUGAUUUCAUACUCUUUAUUUCAGCUCAUGGCAAACAGGGAGUGAGUCUUCCCAAAAACCUCUGGAUAUAUAUACCGUAUUUUUUGCUCUAUAAGACUCACUUUUUCCCUCCUAAAAAGUAAGGGGAAAUGUGUGAGUGUCUUAUGGAGUGAAUGCAGGCUGCGCAGCUAUCCCAGAAGCCAGAACAGCAAGAGGGAUUGCUGCUUUCACUACGCAGCGAUCCCUCUUGCUGUUUUGGCUUCUGAGAUUCAGAAUAUUUUUUUCUUGUUUUCCUCCUCCAAAAACUAGGUGCGUCUUGUGGUCUGGUGCGUCUUACAGAGCGAAAAAUACGGUACAUUAUUUACACAAUGGGCCCCACGUGAUUGGCUGAGUCAACUCCCCUCCUGGAGCCUGAUUGGGCUGCUGCUGCAGGCCAAUCAGGUUGCUGAUUCACUUCCUAUUGGAGCCAGAUUGGGUGGCUCCUGCAGAUCAAUCAGGAUGCUGUCUUCUAGGAUCCUACUUGUCUAUUGUUCUAGGAUCCAAGCUCAGUACAUAACACAGUGGUUCUCAACCUGUGGGACCCCAGAUGUUGUUGGACUACAACUCCCAUUAUCUCUGACCACUGGUCAUGCUGGCUAGGAAUGAUGGGAGUUGUAGUCCAACAACAUCUGGGGGCCCACAGGUUGAGAAACACUGACAUAACAGAUGGGCAUUGUGUCUGGGCUCCCUGUUGAGUUCAACGGAAGCAUUUUGCUUUGCCCCGCUUCUUUUGCGAGCAUGUUAUGCCCCUGAAAGAAAGAAGAGUGGUCCGAGGAAACCAAAUCUGCUGCUUCUUCCCAGAUACACACUCAGUGCUGUGAUGGGCAUAUGCUGGUCUAACCUUACACUGGCAUAUCCCUGAAGAUCUGUCAACGCAGAAUCCCUGAGGACAUAGCCCAAAUCCUAAAGUUCUCCAGCUGAUCUAGCUUGGAAAAUAUGAGCGUUCAGCGAGUCACUCGGCAACUUGUUUUGAGUUGUAACUUGAAUGUUUCCAGUUAAAAAACUGCUCCGAAUGUGGAUCAAAAUCCCAUGAAAAUGCAGGAGCAACCAAAGUUAAUGCCAUGCGGACAAGAUGUCAACAAGGCACACCCAUCGUUCUGGGCUCAGUAGCUCAGAUGUAAUGAAAGCCAAAGCCAAACAGAAGACAGUCAAAAACCCUGUUCCCAAGUGGGUGUGACCAUAUAUUAUACAUGUCUCGUUUGAAACAGGCCUCUUGCAACGGGUCAUGUUACAAACCAAGUCUGCCAACUCAUCAGGCCGAUGGUAACAAAUGAGUCAAAACAUGAAUUUUCCCUCCAAUUCCACACAUUCAUGCAUCUGGCGAAUUGGGCUGUGGCGCAUUACAUCUCUGAGUCUUUUUAAGGUGUGUCACAGGAUUCUGGAUUUUUAAAUUUUUUUUUGCUGCAACAGGCUGCCACAACUUCCCCCACUUCAGUAUUCCACACACUGGAAAUCUUUACAGUGAGUCAAGAGGCAAAAACUCAUUUUUAUAACACUUCUAUGGGCAAUUUAAAAUGGGUGACUGCAGCUGGAAAUGACCCACCCAAACCGCUCCCUUUGCUUGCAGUUGAGCUGCUUGCAUUUUAAAUGGUCUCUUAAACUGAUCAUUAGACCAUAGCUAGAAAGUGAAUCUAAUGAAUAGAUGCCUAUUUUAAAGUUCAGUAGCAGUCAUCUUACUUUUACUUUGUGUGUACUACUUUGGUAAACCAUUUUGCUUGAUCUGAUUUUUACGAACAUGGCAGACCAGCUGAACUGAGGGCUAGGGGAGCUGUGGUUCUCCAGAUGUUGCCGGACUCCAGCUCCUAUCAUCCCUAGCCAGUAUGACUCAAUGGUCAGAGACGAUGGGAGUUGCUUCUACCACAACUGGUUGGAAUAACAGCUGAGAUUUACAGCAUUUUCAGUUAUAAUGCAGCUCCAUAAGGAUGAUUUUUAGGACUUUCAAGAUCCAGGCUAGCAUGGCCUAGUGAUGUGACUGGAUCCAUUCACUAAUUAGCAUGUCAAAAAUGGAGGGGGGCUUUAAAUGUUAAUGUUUGCUGAGCCUAUGUCUUUUAAAAAUAUAUAUAUAUAUAAAUUAAUUUGUAACAUACAAAAUUAUAAAACGUACCACACAAAAUUAUCACAAAUACAAUCCUACUGGACUUCCAUCAGCACCUCUGAUAAUCCUCCAUCUUACAUCACAUCUUAUGCAUUUCCUAACUUAAUACUGUCUUUAUAUCUCAUAUCCUGUCUUCUCUCCUUUUCCGUUUUAACAAUAUUUCCAUUAAUACUCGUCACAGAACUUCUUGCAAACCUACAAACGUCGACUGGUCAUCACAAAUACUCUUCAAAUAGUCCGUAAAUUUACUCCAGUCUUCGGUGAACUUCUGGUCCUGCCGGUUUCGGAUCCUUCCUGUUAGUUUGUCAAGUUCUGCGUAGUCCAUUAAUUUCAUCCUCCAUUCUUCCACCGUUGGUAUUCUUCUUCCUUCCAUUUUUGGGCCAAUAGUAUUCUUGCUGCUGUUACUGCAUAUGAAAAAAGCUUACUUUCCUUUCUAUUUAUAUCAUUUCCAACCAUACCCAAGAGAAAUGCUUCUGGUUUCUUUAUAAAUGUAUAUUUCAACAUUUUUUUCAUCUCAUUAUAUAUCAUCUCCCAGAAGCAUUUCACCUUUUUUGCAUUCCCACCACAUGUGAUAAAAUGUUCCUUCUUUUUCCUUGCUGAGCCUAUAUCAUUAGGUAUGUGUUCAUUGCCCUCUUCUCUCUCCUGACUCAACCUUACCCAGCAGCAGAGAGGACUUGCAGUAUAUCUUUUGUUGGAUGCUAUCGUAGCACACAUGAGAGAGUACAUUAGAGCAUCAUGAAUGUGACUCAAUCUGAGCUAGGUGAAGUUUCUCUCUCUCUCUGAUCUGAUUAGGUUGCCUAGGAGUACUCCAGGAUCCAGUGUUGUUUUUUGAAGAGCAGACUAGAAUAGUGGCCAGGAAUGCCAUUCCCCAUAUUUGACUCAUUAGGACCCCGCCCCUUUGCUAGGCAUGCUUUUGUAACUUUCAGGCUUGAUUACUACAAUGCCAUCUUACAUGGAGCUGCCCUUGAAGAUGACUUUUCUGAUUCAGGUGAUGCAGAAAAAUUCUGUAUGCUUUCUGACAGGUGUUGGAAUGCACAGUCCUAUCCAGCCUGUUCCGUGGCAGCUGUGUUGGCUGCCAGUUUCCUUCUGGGCUCAAGGUAUUGGUUUUAACAAAGCUUUGGAAACACUGGGACUCUCACACCUCAAGAACUAUCUCUCUACUCACCUGUUAAGGUUCAGUCCAGUCAAUGUUACUGGUGUGUCAUCUUUAGGGCCAGUGCAUAGUAGUGGGUAGGCAUCAGCUGAGUUGACCAGACUAGUUUAUUAGUGGCUAUUGGUAAUGGUGAUGAAAUGUCUUCUAAACAGAUUUGGGGUCAGGUUUGGCCAAACGCUAAAUGGGACGUGGUUGGCACUGUGGGUUAAACCACAGAGCCUAGGACUUGCUGAUCAGAAGGUCGGCAGUUCAAAUCCCCGUGACGAGGUGAGCUCCCGUUGCUCGGUCCCUGCUCCUGCCAACCUAGCAUUUUGAAAGCACAUCAAAGUGCAAGUAGAUAAAUAGGUACCGCUCUGACGGGAAGGUAAACGGCGUUUCCGUGCACUGCUCUGGUUCUCCAGAAGUGGGUUAGUCAUGCUGGCCACCUGACCCGGAUGCUGUACGCCAGCUCCCUUGGCCAAUAAAGCAAGAUGAGUGCUGCAACCCCAGAGUCGGCCACGAUUGGACCUAAUGGUCAGGAUUCCCUUUAGUUGUCUUGAAGCUCUUCUUAUCAGCUUCCUCACAGCAUAUGCCCACCGUUGUGGGACCAGAUAAGUGUUUCGUCUGAACCAGCAAGGAAUUUGGAUUCUAAAUGGGGAGUUUAUUUCUCUGCACGUUUUCACAAUUUCCUGGAAAUCCCUCCCCCCCCCCCAACUCUUGUGAUUUUCUUUCAGGAAAGCCUCUAAAAGAGAGUGCAUAUGUUUACAGGGAGAAAACACCCAGUCCUACAGGACAGGAAAUGUUGCCCCAGGACUCACCACAACUUGGAAAACUAGGCAAAGAUGGGAACAAGGCAAGCAUGGAAUGAAACUUACUUGUGUGUUGAUGUAGCUUGGUAUCUAAGUGCUUUGGGUAAAGGGUGGA